rnacentral:lncRNA from 1 species
UUUUUUUUUUUUUUUUUUUUUUGUUUAACAAAACUCUGUAGGUUUUUUAUAUUUAUAAAUUAUAGUAGGUUCCAUUUUUUUUGAAAUUAUCUUAUAUAAAUUAUAGUAGGUUCCACUUUUUUUGAAAUUAUUUUUUUGCCCUUUACAUUGUAGUAUACAAACCUUAAUACAUAAGAGGUAAAAUCGAAACUGUGAAAAUAAACACGCUAUCUUAUAUAAAUUAUAAUAGAUCCCACUUUUUUUGAAAUUUUUUUUUCACCUUUUUCAUUGUAGUAUACAACUCUUAAUACAUUAGGAUAAAAUCGGAAAUGUGGAAAUAAAAUCAGAACUUAGGGGUAAAAUCGAAAGUGGGGAAAUAAAAUCGGAACUUAGGGGUAAAAUUGGAAUUAUGAAAAUAAAAUCAAAAUUUAGAAAUAAAAUCAAAACUGUUUAUAAGAGAUAGGGGUAUAAUCGAAACUUUAAUAAGAGGUAGGGGUAUAAUCAGAACUAUUUAUAAGAGAUAGGGGUAUAAUUGAAAUUUUAAUAAGAGGUAGGGGUAUAAUCGGAACUAUAUAUAAGAGAUAGGGGUAUAAUUGGAACUGUGUAUAAAAGAUAGGGGUAUAAUUGGAACUGUACAUGAGAGACACAUCAGGCCUCAUGAACGACCUCGGUAUGGGGGCGCCUUAGAAAGUAGUUUAGAUGGUGUCACUUUUUAGCAGCAAGAACAUGCCUUGGAACUUGGAGAAAUGGUGACAAUGGAGACUAAUAAGGUCUCAUGUGUGUUACAGCUUCGGCAUACCUCUUAGAAGACCUUCAUACGAUAUCUUGGAAAUAUAUGUUGAGUUUCCCAUCUGUUUGAAAAUAUGUAAUGUAAGGCAUCUAAUAAGCACAAGUUAUUCCUCUCCAAUAGUUUUUUUUUUUUUUUUUUUUUUUAGUCAAAUAAAAAACAAAUUAUAUUGAUAAGCUCAACGAAUUACACAAAAGUAGAGGACAAACGCGCUACAAACUGCGCGGCAAGUCCUUUCUGGAUAGCAAACUCGACUCUCCUAAAUACAUAUUCGUUCGAACAUGCAGUCAUCACGUUGUUAUCCAUUAUCUUCUGCACUCUCCUGAGGAGCUCAACUGCUUCUAAGCCUAGCAAUCUAAAUGUGUCAAAUGCAAAGGGGAUGAAACUAUGUUGGUUAGCCCUACAAGCUCCAUCAUGUUUCUCUACUUUUGCUGUUGUUGCAUUGCUAACUACUAGCCCCACCUCAAAAAUCCCAGCACCCAGCCCAACCAUCCGAGACACCCUUGUAACAUCAACAUACGCAUGUUUACCUUCAGACCAGUUGUAGACCAGAAUAUCAGCAGGACGUAAUAUUGAUCUUCCUUCCUUAGGAUCAGUAAGAAAGUUAACAGGAACCUCCUUCUUAACCUGUACUUCAGCCCGCCAGAACACAUCACACAAGAUAUCUCUAACGUGGUCAUGUUUGUACUUGAAGCUGGGGUAAUACUUACAAUGGGCCGCAUGGUCCCCGAAACCAUCAAGUCUGCUCUUCUUGCACACUGGACAAAGCUCACCAUCUGAAUAUAGAGGGAUCAUCAAUCGAUAACGAAGAAUGGCACGAUAUUCUACAGGCGUCAUGCGUUGUCCAAGCCCUUCCAUCAGGAUAGCAAGGAGAAAAUCUUUGGCAUGUUCUGACUGUACACAUCCAAUCACGGCUUUUUGUCUAGCUGACAACUCAAAUUCCCUCUCAAGACCAGAACUAAUCUUGUUAUAGUAUGUUUCCGCCAAGACAUGUUGGGGUCUGAAGGGGACGGUAGCAGUUGGAGCAAGAUUACUGAGAUCAAAAUCAGGUAUAGAAAGAUGUAAACUAGCAAUGGCAAUAUCGAAAACAUUACCCAUAGGUGCAGUCUCACCACCUCGAAGAAUGUGGUCUUGGAGAUUCUUAGUUUGCACACGUGAAGCUACGACAGCAAACUUCAUAACAUCAGCACAAUAGAUACCAAGUCCACCCAUACGUAAUGGGAGGGUUGUCAUACGCCAUUGUAGAUCGCCAAAACCAGGUCCAUCAUAAACCACAAUAUUCUGAAGGGUUGCACAAAGCUUGUGGUCAAACCAUUCGGCUGUUUCCUGAACAUAAUCAGGGGGCCAAGUACGGAGAGCAAAUGUGAGUUUAGAUAAUCACAUACAAGAACGUAAAAGUGCCAACUCACAUUGCGGAUCCUUUAGCAUUUUCCUGCAAUAAAAUUGCCGAUGAAUCAGGAAAUGGAGAUAUUGUACAUAAGGGAUUAGUUGAUAAAUGGAGAAUAUAUUGAGAAUAAUGAUGAUGACAAUGAAAUUCUACGAAAAAAAAAAACAACAACAACAACAACUGGUUAAUUUAAAGUUGAUAAAAGAACUUCUCAAAUUCUUCCAUGUGAGCAACCUGUAGACAUAUAGGUAUAAUCAAAGAUCCUUCAUCUCUUCCUGGGAUGAUGAAAGACUUGCCAUCAACAUUCAAAAUUGCAGGGCCCAUAUAUAUAGGUUUACCCCAUCCAUAAUCUGAAUCAUAUAUUGGUAAACCCAACCAACUAGUUAAAGCCAAAUUUGGAUCCCCAUACAAUGUAAUCCCUCCUCUAGUAUCAUCACCAAAUGGAGUUACAUCUGGCUGACUUUUCAAGACACUCAUGUAUGAUCUUAUGUAUUCAUUGUUACUAACCUUCUCAACUGAUUCUCUAAUCUUAUUUGUAGCAUAACCCAAACCUAAUGAUGUUAGAUCACCAGAUUUAGCCAUUGGUGUUGCAACCGUAAUGGCAUUGCCAUAGUAACUUGGCGGCAGAGGAGGCUUAAUGUGUUUACGACAAUCCACUGCAUUACGUAAUACUGUCAACUGCUCAUGUUCAUGUGUGCGUGCCUUUGAAGCACAUUUCCAUAUAUGCCCUGCUAUGACUUCAAAACGACUGUAAUCUCGACUGCCAUCUUUAAUUUUGCCUUCAUUAGCGUGAUCCUUAAGUUUGUGGCUUCAGAUUAAUUUUGUUAAUCUCCAUAAUCUUCAAUUGUGGCUUCAGAUUCAGCCUCAAUUAUCUCAGCUCCCAUGUCAUUGCAAUCAACUUCAAGUCGGCUUUCACCGAUCCAAUUCAGUCGCCCUGCAAAUGGGUAGUAAUGCACUAGUGCAUGUGCUAAAGAACUUUUCAGAGUUUCAACUGCAGAUGCAACUCUGUCGUCUUGUUGAUAGAAACAGACUGUGGAUGUAUGACUCCAAGGCUUGACAUGGUCACAAUCUGUUAACCUGAUCUGGACAUUUGGAGUUGGCUCAUUUGGUUUAACUAUGUGUGAGUACUUUAAGCUUACCAUCAUAUUUCUUUUGCAAUUCAAAUCAAGAAAGCCAAUAAUGAUCUUUGAUUCUCUUCAAAGAAAAUGUGAAAUAAAUACAUAUAUGCAGGUCAUAGUUUCUUUGGAUUAAAGAACUACCAAACUUCUAAGGUAAUUACCAUAUCAGGAUUCUGUUAGUUAUACCAAGAAUAUCAUCAUACAAAUACUAAAAAUCAAAACAGUUCGAUGUCUUCAAUCACAGUUUUCUUGUUGUUAACGCACAAAUCCCUUAAUCAAUAAAGUUGGGUACACUGAAACAUACACUGAUACACAACACAUUGACCUGCGUUUGGGACUUUGGGUAUCAACCUCACUUGGGCCAUAAUCUGUCCCAGAAGUACCAAGCACCAACUUGUUGAUCCAAAUGAUAUAUUCCUGACCUAGCCAUAGCACAUAGCACUUCUGGAACAAAUGUAUGGCUGUGGAGUGCACCAAAGAGGAAUAUUUGCAUUGGGACAUUAGGACAUAUACAAUACUUGUGUAUGUUAUAAGCACCACAUAUUUGUUGAUGUUGUUCAAGAUAUAUUGCAUCAAAUGUUGGCCAUAUAUUGGUGAACUGAAGCUUUGGGGUUUGAUGCUUAUAGCAUAUAUGUACAGUAUUUGCAAAUGUACCUUAUAAGAUUCGUGAAGAUUUGAUUUGAAGUUGCUCAAGAUCUAGAGCAUAAUGAGGCCUAUCUCUUCAAAAUGAUAUAUAUAUAUAUUGUAUAAUGCUAUCAAGACUAUAGUGUUGCAACAAAACAUAAACAACAGAAUUAUAGAACAAGGUUAAAGAAACAAUUAGAAUUCAUGGAUUAAUUCAGGAUGUAGAUACAGAUUUCAUGUAGUUUGUUAUAAGCACCAAACUGUGGCAAACUCAGAAGAUUAUAUAUAUGUUUGCCGAAAAAUACAGAAGGAAAUGUAGACCAGCAAGAUCAUAAAGCAGGAAUACGAAGAGCAGCAUCUUCUGUUUGUGUAGGGAUAGGAAGAUGACCUUUCUCUUGCAAGUUUUUAACAGAUUCAUACAAACUUUGCUUCACAGUUAUAAAUUCCAAGCCAAGGUCCUUAAGCUUCUGGUUCGAAAACUUGUAUGGUUUAGCCCUUGGUUUCACCUCAUCUGAACACCUAUAAAUUUAACAAAAAAGAGAAAACAAAUCAUUAACAUAUGUAAACCUUAUUAGUCCAACUUAAUUGAAACAAAUAAUCAAUUUGAUAAAUGUGAAAAGGGGUAGGUAAUGUUAUGGUGUAAAAUCAUAAUCGGUCAUGAUGAAAUAUUGCUUGUGCGUCAAUAUGCUAAUGGUUGGUCCCAUGUCUCCUUCUACGUUUUUUUUCAAUGGUUGGUCCCAUGUCUCCUUCUACCUUAUUUUUUUUUCAAAUGGUCAGUGUUCACAAUGGUCGUCAAUUUAGGUAAGCUUUAUUCUGUGUGUUUGUUAGGUUUGGUGGGCUUCUACAGACUAAAGUAGUAUCCUAUCCACACAAGUGAAAAGUGGUUUAGUGGAACCUCCACCAUAUGCUAAAGAUAAUCUUUUUCAACACUACUCUAUAGUUUGUACUCAUGUCUUAGAGAAGUCAUUCCUAGGUCCUCCAUGAGGCCAUGAUAAUGUUAACAUAAGAUGGUGGGGAGGAAGCUUACUUUGUAGGAAUAGGGUAUUCCGGGAAGAAUUUGGACAGAAUCUCGACAACCUCCCCACGGUGCAGUACACUCUCGGCACAUAGAAACCUUCCACUGGCAGAAGGGGUUUCAUAAACUAGUACGUGAGCUAAAGCUACGUCUCGGACAUCAACGUAGGCCUGCACUGAGUUGGCGUAUGUUUUAGCUGAGCCUGUAAGGUAUUUGAGUAUGUGAAUGAUGCUCGCGUUCACUGUUGGUUGUAGUAAUGGACCCAUUACUAACACUGGAUUCACUACCACCAAAUCUACUCCUUUCUCUUUAGCCAUUUCCCAUGCGGCCUGCUCUGCUACGGUUUUUCCAUAACAAUACCAGUUCUGCCCAUUCCAAUUGUAAUUUAUUCAGUAUAAGCAAGGGUAAAUAUGCCAAUUACUGAAAAAAUAAUGCACAUUUUAACAGCUAAAGAUGGUUUACCUUAGUGAUCUUGCAAAAGUCUAGAUCACUCCAACAAGACUCGUCUACAACCACAUCAGGUCCCCUGCUAGGGUUCAUGGUGACUGCACCGAUAGAAGAAGUGAACACAACACGACGAACACCAGCUUCAGCAGCUGCAUCAAUUAUGUACUUAGUACCAUUCACAGCUGGUUCCACCAUUUGUUCUGGAUCAUCAGUAACAGGUGAAGCAGUAUGGAAAACUCCAUGACAACCUUUAAUUGCUUCACGAAGACUCUCGUAGUCAAGAAGAUCUGCUUUACAUAAAACUAGUCUUUCUUUUGCACCUUCAAGGUCCUUUAAAUGACAGUUCUUUGGAUCAUCUGUCAUAGAUUAAAUCAUAUAUAUAUAAGAAACUAGAAGACCAAUAAAAGAUACAUAAACAUUGUUAGAAUAAUAACUACGUACCUGGAUUUCGGACAGUUCCUUUGACAGUAUAACCUUUUUCCAAUAAAAGUUUAACUAGCCAAGAAGCAAUAAAACCUCCGGCACCUGUAACGCAAACUGUUUGAUCUGAAACUGAAGAACCAUCUAUAGGCAUGAUGACCUUUUUUUUGUUAUUCUUGCUUUGCUUGUAAGGUUAUGGAAGUAUAUGUAAACACACUCUUAAACGUCCAGACAACUAGAUGAGGUGAGAGUUAGGAACAUAAAGCAAGACACUUGGAAAUUUAUAGGCUAUCCAUAUUGAGUUUUAGCCUGCUUCACCUAACGUUCUAUUUGUCCUUUUAUGGCUUUAUGUUAUUGCAAUUCAAAAGUGUUGUGCUAAGUCAAUAUUUAGAAGACUAAAAGUCAAGGUCUUCUUCAUUACAGUUGAUGAUUGAAUGAAGAAUUGGUCAAAAUUGAUGACAAUUAUAGGAAGGUUACAUGUAACUUAUAGGUAAUGUAUUAGUUGUUGCCGUGCCAAAUGAGAAAAAUCAUUUUAGUAGUAGGUUCACCAACCAUGUGUCUAUAUGAAUGAUAUAUAAUACUAAUAUACUUGGACGUAGAUAAUCUUUACCUACUACAACAUCAUUUUCACACAUUAGCUCUUAAGAUGUAAAUUGCGACCCUUUUUGCAUCAUAAUAUAGUUUUUUUUCUUACUCAAACAAAACAUUCUCUCUUUAGUCUUUACCGUUUGAAAUUGGAUAGAAAUUUGGACUUAUGAAUACACAGUUACAUUAGAUAGAAAUUUGAUUGUGAUUGUAUGAAUAGUUGUUACAUUGGAUACAGAGUUACAUUCUGAUAGAAAUUUGAUUACGAUCGUAUGAAUACACACAGAUACAUUGGAUAUAGACAAUAUAUAUUAGCAGAACCAAUGAUAAGUGACACCAAUCGCAUUCCAACUUCCAAGUAUAUGAUAAGUGACACCAAUCGCGUUCCAAUUUCCAAGUAUAUAUAUACGGAUAUACCUAUAAACUCAGGGACAGAUCAGAAAUACAAGUAUGAGGGACAAAGAGUACAUGUAUGUAACCUACAACAACUCAAGAAUAGCCUACAGCCUACAGGCCACAACAGGAUGGAAGUCUUGAAUGUACAGCUAGUUAGCUAUAGAUUGCAGUCAGUCAGGAAUGAAAUGCCCUUAGUCCAGGCAUGAUUGGUACUGUGUAGGGUCAGCAGCAAUUGAGCCCAAGCUUAUUGGAUAGAUAUGAUUGGAUUAUUGCACAAUUGCAAUUGACUUAAACUGUGAAACACAUACAUUUCUAGUUCUACCACUGUUUACAGUAAUUUAUAAAUAUUUUUUCUUUUGCUGUUGACAUGAAAUUUCUAGUUCUACCACUGUUUACAGUGGAUAAUUGUGACUUUGUUCACAUGAAAUUUCUACCACUGUUUAGAGUGGAUAAGAUAAUUUUGACUUUUUGUGCAAUAAUAAAUUGGCAAUUCACACAGCUGAGAUAGUGGGUAAUGUACUGCUGAAGUAACAACUUCGUGUAGGAAUAAUCUUGCAGCAAUUCACAAUGCUGAAAUAGUGGUGUAGGAAUAAUCUUAUGCAACAAUAACUGGCAAUUCACACUGCUGAUAUAGUGACUUAUGCACAACAAUUGGCCGCUGAAAUAAUGACUUCGUGAAUACUGUGCUAAUUGUAUACAGUUAAACUGGCAAUUCCCACUGCUGAUAUAGUGACUUCUGUAGAAAAAACACAUGGCACAAAAACACCCGGCCAUUCACACCGCUGUAAUAACGAUUAAGAAUAAUUUUACACAACCAUAACUGGCAAUUCACACAGCUGAAAUAGUGACAUGUGAAAUAAUGACUAGCUGUUUUGCUGUUGAACGGAGAGUAGUGGAUGGGACAAGGGUAGACCCUGGUGAGCACCCACCUCGUGCCUAACUAACAUAUUUAGCAUUUUCUAGGUUCGGGGGGAGAAUUUAGAAGAGAAAGAUAGAGCCAGUAGUAGUUUCUUCUAGGGGUGGGCACGGUCCGGUCCGGUCCGGUAAUGUAAUAGGACCGGGACCAAACCGAGUUGACUGUAUCGGUUCGGUUUCGGUUCCAUGGACCGAAAUUUGGUGAAUGUAACCGGACCGAACCGGACCAAAUACAAUCGGUCCGGUUUCGGUCCGAACUCGGUCUUGGGCUUUUUCUUUGGGCCUUUAGUCCACUACAUCAUACUGCAGCAAGGAAAAUCUAAAAAGUACUUCUGACAUAGAAAUUGCUCCAAAUACAUAGAAGUUUAAAAGAUAAUCAAUUUGGAGUUUAAAGUUUCUCCGAAUACAUAGAAGUUGCUCCAAAUACAUAACAAAAAAUUCUUAAAAGUACAAACAAGCGUGACAAGUCCAAAGUUCCUUCAAAACAACAAGCGCGAGUGCGCGACCAUUGAUAGUGUAGAACCGGAGUGCUUCUUUUCGAAGAAUAACAGCCAUGAGAAACGUUACAGCCCCAGUAGUAUUCAAAGCAGUGGACUGGAAAGUUGCAGAGAUGUACCUCAGACUCUGAGUUAAGAGUAAAUACCUAAUGGUAUCCUGCACACAUUUGACGAAAAAAUAAGAAAGUAGCUUAAUCAAAUAAGAAAAAUUUACUCGAUUAGUUCGUUGUGUUAGUAGUGAAGUAUGUUUAUGAAUUGGUAAAAUUUUGAUGAUUAAAUUUGCAGCAAUAAGAACUACCUUCUGUUAGGAUUUUUCUGACAACCAUUUCUUUUAGUUGUUGGAAAUUUAGUAGGAAUGAAAGUGUACUGCCUAACUAAUGGAAACUAGGGUACUAUUAUCUGACAAGGUUUUCCAUCAUUUGUCUACCAUAGGGUGCUUACCAGUUAUCACCAAGUUCAUAUUCUUGCUAGUUCGUGUGUGUCGUGGUGCACAUAACUAUAGAAGUGGGUGGUAGUUGUGAAUGCUGCUGUGAUGUUUCAGUUUGGUCACACCUGCAUUAAUUAGAAAUAGGCGGUUCUAACCCCGAUCUAGCGAGACAACAGUUUUAGGCAUACAGUGAGAACACGUAAAUCACACGGUGGAAUUCACAACUACAAUUCUAGAACGUAAUGAUCGUUACUCUAAACUUUCAAGAUCGAAUUCAGUGUAACAUAAUGGUGAAUUUCGAAUGAAAGAAACAAUAUUGAAAACCAAGAAAGUUUCAGAAAGUGAGAUUUUAGGUAUAAGUAAGGUUUCUUCACCUCUUUCAAACUAUCUUCUGUAUCUAAAACAAUGGCGUACAGCUUAACCUGUGCAACUACCGAAUUUACCGUAUUUUUCCUGCAAAGAAAUCAAUCGUAAGUAAUUGAACUUGAAACAAACAGAUUGAUCGAAGAAGAGUGAUGUUGAGAAAGAGAUGAAACAAGAACCUGAUCGUCUUCUUCUUCUUCUUUGUGUUUCUGAAGCUAGGGUUUGUUAAAGAACUAUACUAAUUUGUUGUUGUUGUUGACUAUUUCGAUCGAGGAAGUGGCGGUGGUGGUGGAGAAGAGGACUGAAGGAGGCGGGACUGAAUGAAGCUUUAGGUUUAGUAUUUACCAUGUCUAGUUUAGUAAUUUCCUAUUAAAAAAUAUAUUUUUUAUUUAUUUCGGUUCGGUUUUCUCGGUUUUAUAAAAACCAGAACCGAGACCGGACCGAUAGCUAUAUAGUUCGGUUCGGUUUCGGUCCGGUCUUGACCGGUUUUCAGUCAACUCGGUUUUGACCGGUUUUGACUCGGUUUUUUCGGUUCGGUUUUCGGUUUUUCGGUUUUUUUGCCCACCCCUAGUUUCUUCUCUUAGCAAGGGCUAUGAGAAUGUUCCCUUCACUUUAUACUUCGCAUAUUAAUCCCUCUCAUUGCCACCCGCUACUAGCUCGGUCGGUCGGGCAGCGCGCCUUAAGGAGAGGAAUGACUAUUUAGGCCUGGCAGAAAGAAUAGCAGACUCAUCUCUCGAGCCAGAGGCUUCAGAAAUGGGGGCAACUGGGACCAGUCCUCUAGUUAGGAAGCUGAAAGACUUGGGGGCUAAGCUUGAAUCAGCAUUUCGGCAAUUCACACUGCUGAAAUAGUGACGUGUGAAAUAAUGACUGUAGCAAUAACCUUACCCAACAAUAAUGCCAAUUCACACUGCUGAAAUAGUGACUUAUGUACAAUAAUAAUUUGCCGAUUCACACUGCUGAAAUAAUGACUGUAAGAACAGUCUUAAGCAUAAACAAAAAAAUGGGAAUGCGCUUGAGAAAUAGGACUGUAGGAGUUCUAUUUCUUGCAAAUUCAAGUAGAUGACACGACCCCAAAAUUCUUUCCUUUCCAAGUGCCAUGAAAGUUUGAUGAUACAAUUGUCAAUAAUAGCAUUAAAAUUGUCAUACAUCCACAAUCGCAUUACAAUCCAAACCUCACAAAACACUACAGUACUUCAAAACAAAGGAAUUCAAGUAAAAUAACAUGAAACUCAAGAUCUUCAUCAAACAUAAAGAAAAUUCAGGACUAAAGAAUAAUGUCACAUUCUAGUAUUCCAGUAUAAAGAAUGUCAAAAACCACAACCUUACUGCAAUGACCACAGAAUCUAUGAUUACAAUCUAAUUAAGGAAAUGAUUAUUGUCGAAUAAAAUAGACAAAAUACUUAAAAAAAUAAAAGAUUAUAAUUAACUUAACAACUCCUUGAGCCGAUCUAUGUCCAGACAUUUAAAACACAAGUUUUCAAAGAAACAAAAUUUAGUUCCAAAAAGUACAUACUCACUAUUCCACCAUCUGGGAACCCAAAAUCUUUUAAGCUUCUAUUUUUUCCACGUCCUCAAUAACAGCAACAGUUUUGGGAGACCUAGCCAAGAAGUCUGUGUACUCCUGGAAAGGAGAUUUGGAGAACUUUGUUUCCGUCCAGAAAUCAGGUGUCAGAAACCCAUAAGUUUUCAGUAGACAGUCAAAAGUUGCCUGCGUGGCAAAAACAGAACAAUAAUAAUAAGGCGACAUCAUACAUGAAAUCUCACGUCACAAGUAACACAGAUAGCACUAUACAAUAAUCAGAUUAAUAAUAAGUAAAACAUCAGAUGCCAGCAUACAUCUACUACUAUACCAAUAUAAGGCAUCAUCCUAUACCAGCAUAACAAGACAAUUCCAUCUACUUUACCAUAUUCCUCACACUACAUUUAAAUGCACAGUUGUAUAAAUACGAAGGCUUUCAAGUUAAUAAAUGUUAAUUUAUAGAAACUGACAAUCAUUAAAAGCACAAAAUUAACAUAGCUUUUCGAGAUGUAAACUUCAUAGAUAGAUAGUUGAAAUGAUGGAACAAUCUCUGCUCAGAAAAUGAAUUCUCUUCUCAUAGAUCUCAAGAGAAACCUCUGAAGUCUGACAUGUGAAGAUUUCAAAAUUCAUCACCACAGACCAUUCAUUAAUGCAUUGAGAAAUAAACUUAGAGACAACUACUAAAACUAACGAAUUAUGAAAAAACAAUAUGCAGAAGUCUCAAUUUAUAGAAACUUCCUCAAUAAUCAUUAGCAGGUCAAAAUUAACAUAGCAUUCUGAGCCUUUAACUUUGUAGACAGAAAUGACGGAAUAAACUCUGCUCAGAAAAUGAAUUCUAUUCUCAUAGAUCUCUUGAGAAAUCUCUGAAGUCUGACAUGUGAAGAUUUCAGAGUUCAUCACCGCAAAAGUAUGUUUCGUUAAUGCAUUUAAAAAUAUAUUCUGAGAUUACUAGUGAAGCUAAUACAUAGAAGUCUUACUGCCAACAACUAAAUACAGUAUUUUUCUAAGAACCGUGAAUGUUUGUAUCUCAGGACAACUUCGCAUAACUACACCAAUAAAUCAUCAAAAAAAAUUUCAAAUGGGGGGUAUCUCAAAUUUCGACUUUCAAAUGGAGGGUAUGUCCAAAAAUCUCUAGAAACAACGUUAAAAAUAGGAUGAUAUAUAAUUCAACAAAUCCCUUCUGCUCAGAAAUGAAUUCUCUUCUCAUGGAUUUCCAGAGAAAUCUCUGAAGUCUGACAUGUGAAAAUUUUCAAAAUUCAUCACCACAGAACUAGUGAUUUCAAUAACCUGAUGUAGAAGCCAUAGUGUAUGAAGAAGAGCAGUAAAUCAAGGGAUAAUCCUAAACAAAUAAAAUCAAAUCAAUAACUAAAAAAUGGCUGUGCAUUCGAACUCAGGGCAUAAUACAAAUGAAAAUAGCAUAGGAAAAACAGAAUACUAUAUUGGAGCUCUCAUAAGAUAAUUCUCAGCCUAGUGAUAUAACAUAUCACUUAGUAUAGCGUAUAUUGCCAAAAUCAGGCAUGUAAUCAUCGAGCCAAAUUUUCAGUUUCAUUAACCAAACAAAUAUAAUUCCAUCUAACAGAAAUACAAGUAUUCCAAUUCCAGCCUUAAAAAAGGCAACUAUAACUACAAAAUUGGAACGAAGAAAGCUUUAAACAUCAUUGCUUUGGAAAAGAAUUACAGGCACAAAACAUAGAAAAUAUAAAGAAAUCACCUAGGUAAAAAAUUCCAAGGCAAGUAGAGAAUGUUUCCAUUAAGUGCAAAAAAAGCUAUAAAUCCAAAGAAGGGAUCUAAUUUAGACAUUUCAUGUUUGGUUUUUAUUCAACAAAGUGUCAGUUCAUAUCAAGUCCCUAAUUUAUUUAUAAUACAGAUCUUAGAAAGACAUUAAAUUAAUAUACGCCAAAAUAGACUAAAAAUCCAGAGAAAAAUAAAACUAAGAAAAGGUAAUGUAGACAAGCAACAAUCAAAUCGCCAACCAAAUAUAAGGGCGAGUGAAACGAUAUCUUGCCUUGUUUCUCUUCCUCUGUUAUUGGCAACAUAGAGACAUUGUAUAGAGUCUCCAAUUUUAUUUAUAUAGCAGAGGAUAGAAGCCUUAAAUAAUGUCCAAUACACCUAUACAUAUUAGAUACAUAUAUGCAAAAAAUAUCUAUAGAACUUAAGCUAAACAAAUGUAGACAAGCAACAAUCAAAUCACCAAUCAAAUAAAAGGGCAACUGAAACGAUAUCUUGCCAUAUUUAUAUUCCUCUGUAUUAACAACAUAAAGACAUUUCAUAUUUAGUCUCCACAUUUCUAAAUAAUACAAAGGUUCAAAGCUCAAAAAUGCCAAAAACAAGACAUAAAAUAACAAAGUUCAAUACACUCUGGCAUUGCCAUGACCAAAACCCAAUUCCGACUGUAGAUAAGACCAAUGCAUAUUGAAUCCCAUUAAAAGUUCUGACUCCUAACUUAUAUAUACCGUGUUCAAUAGAAUUGAUGCUCUGACAUAGUAAAAUAGCAUAAUGAUGAUACUAUAAACAUGUUUGCUUCAAAGCCAUCUACAGUAAUGGGGUUCUCAGUAAAAUGUAGCAUAAAUAGAAAAAUAUGGCGAACCAAAAUAGGCAAUGCAAAAGGAAAAAUAGAUACCAAUUAAUCUUAAAAAUAAGAGCAACUAAAAGAAAGCAAUUUAAAUGUGUAUAAGAACAUAUUCUCUAUGUUUCACUAACAUGUUAAUUGAUGCAAAUCAUAUAUGUAUAAUAAAGAGGUAAAUAUUUAUACCUUAACAAAGUUACCCAAUGUCUUGGUAGAACCCCUGGAAGAGGUAAACACAUCAUCAAUCCCCGCAAACUGCAAAACCUUCUUAGGAACACGAGCUGCAACAAUACCAGAACCACGAGGAGCAGGUACCAUUCUAACAGUAACAGACCCACAUUUCCCAGUAACUUUACAAGGAACAGUAUGUGGUUUCCCAAUCUUAUUUCCCCAAUAACCUCUUCUAACUGGAAUCACAGACAACUUAGCCAAAAUAAUCGCACCACGUAUUGCAGUAGCAACUUCUUUACUACACUUAACACCUAAUCCAACAUGACCAUUACUAUCACCAACAACAACAAAUGCUUUAAACCUAGUUCUUUGACCAGCACGUGUUUGUUUUUGAACAGACAUAAUCUUCAUUACUUCAUCUUUUAAACCAGGAAGAAGUUUAUCAAUAAUUUGAUAUUCUUUCACAGGUAGAGAAUGAAGAUAAAUUUGUUCUAUACUUUUGAUUUUAUCACCAGAAUCAACUAAUCUACCAAGUUUAGUAACUGGUACCCAUUUUGAUUCUUCUUCACGACGACCACCACCACGUCUUCCACCACGUCCCCUACCUCUAUCUCCACCACGAUCUCCACGUCCACCACCAAAUCCACGACCAAAUCCACCACGAUCUCCACCACUUGGAGCUCCAGCGCCACCUCUUUCCGCCAUGGUUUUGAAGUUUAGAUAAAAAAGAGUCACACAAUGAGACUCUUUUUUAAGGGUUUAAUGAAAUGGAGAUUUGAGAGAGAGAGAGAGAGAGAGAGAGAGAGAGAGAGAGAUGAAAGAGAUUUGAGAAGUGGUGGUAUUUUAUAUAGUGGAAUGGUUAUAAACCCUAGUUGUGCAAUUGCUUGAAAGAAAUUAGGGUUUUGGAUGGUGUGUAAAUGGGCCGGAUUUGUUUUCAGGUGGUUGUUUGAGUCUAUAAGAAAACCCAUGGGGGCCUGACCCAUUAGUCUAUGUCAUUUCUGGUACUACUGCUGCUAGUGAGGAGAAGUGGAAGCAAGAAUGGCAUUUUUUAUCAACCAGGUGUUCAUAGUAGGAGUAACAAUCGAAUAUGAAUGCACACAGGAUUCAUUGAGAAACCUCGAGAGACCAGUAUAGAUUUUAUUGAUCUUUCAAUCCAUGAAAACAAAGAGAAUACAAAGAAAACCAGCAAAAACUAAUCAGAAAAAUAUCAGCUACACUACUUAUUUUUACAGUAAAUUCCACCACGAAGAUUUUAUAACUAAGAGAGCCUAUUUCAAUCCUAGUGAAAAUACAGUUAUACUUUUCCAUGUUUUAUCCAGAUCAGAAAGAUGACAAACAAAUAAUACUAUAAUUUUUUCAUUCAACAAGGCCAUUUAGCCGCAACUAUAGAUGUCAAACACAAGAUAAUUACUACUACAAAUCCCUUCUUUUAACAAAAGCCUCGAAUAUAUUUCUUGCACCAUCCAGCAAUCUCAAUUUUCUUUGACAACAAUACUUUUCUAUACAUAAGAUUGAGAAGGCGGACAAGUUUCACAAUCUUUGAACAAAAGCAUUUAAGCGAUAAACUUCAGGCCAGUUCUCCUUUCUGAACUACAUUUUAUGUAUGAUGUCUAACAAGAUGACGACACUUCUAAGGUACAACAGAAAUGGACACUAAAUGAAAAGGAUGUAAUAUAAAUGAAGAAAAGGAAAAUGGAGGGUUUUCUGUCCAAUAGAUCUUGACCAUUGAAUGCUGUAGAAUUUUAAGUCGAUAGCUCCAUCAGCCACGCCAUUCCAUCGAGAAGAUCGAAAAAUGUCGAUUUUCCAGUCAUAUCUCGUGGAUUCUCCAGGUAUUUUGAGCUAACUGAUGCCUCCAUUGUCCAUUCUUCAGAAAUAAAAAAUUCCAAAGAUAUAGCAUGAUAGGCCCUUGAAUUGUGACGAGCUCAAAUUUUUGAUCUCUUUUGUUUCUGAGAUACAAAGCGUAUUGCUUGCUUUCCAAGUUCCAAGGCCCUCGUUCUGCCAUCAUCUAGACGAACAACUACUGUCGAUGAGCCUUCAAUCAUUUCAGUAACCUCUCCCUUGUGCCUACAGUGAAAGAAAUCUGCAGUUAGCUCAAAAUGCUGCUGACUUGCUUUCUAGGGGGGUUAGAAAAAUAAUCAAUAAUAGAAUGUUAACAGUUCAUGAACAAGCCGACACAUCUCAAUGGAAAAAUGCAGACCACACAAUCAACUAAACCAAGAAAAUCCAUUAAUGUUUGUUGUCUUCACAUAUAUAGAGGUCACAACAACAAAGUACUCAAAACCUUCCUGGGAAAAUAUUAUUGCAAAGAAUAAAGAACAAAAAUAGGAAACAAUCAAACUCACCAAGAACUAUUAGGUUGCUGCUGAACUUCAACUCUCUUUCCAAUAGCAUCCUUACCUAACUUCUUCAAAAUCCAAUUAGCAUCCAUGACUUCCUUGACUGGACUUUCCUGAUUCACUUGAAUAUUGGCUUCUUCUUCCUCCUCUUCUUCUCCUUCUUCUUCUCCUUCUUCUCCUUCUUCUCCUUCUUCUUCUUCUUCUUCCUCUUCUUCUCUAACUUCAUUUUUCUCAGGUCUCUUUCUUUUUGAUCUCUGGCCCUUGACUAAACUUUUCUCUUCCUCUUGAGAGACCCAGGAACUGCGAUUAUCAAGAUAGGGAUUCUUAAAUUUAAGCUUCAGCAAUGGUUUGGGGUCUUUAGCCAAAGAAUCUAAAGAGGACACCUUUCGUCGGCCGCAAUCAAGACUUUCACUCUGCAUAUCAGGUGUGCCUUUUGAAUGUCUCCUAAGAGGGACUGCUUCAGUUCUCAAUGCAGGGGCACCUGUCACACGCUCAGGGGUAACUGCACUUCCUUCUUUACUUCUUCCCACUGAAGCACGAGUCUUUCCCGAAACAGUUGAGCCAUCCGUGAUAUUACCUUUUCCACUUUGAGAGUUUAAAUCUGAAACCUCUGACUUAACUUUACCUAACUUUGUUAAGCUACCUUCCCGAGCUCUAGAAUAUUUCAGAUGCUCUGACUUAACAGGUUUCUCUCCUGCAAAUAUAAGGCAAAAAAGAAGUAAGCAAAAAAAAUUACAUUCCCCGGAUGCUAUAGGAUGGAACCGGCCCAAAUUAUUCAAUCCAUUGGAAAUUAAAAAAAAAAGUUUAGAAGAAAAAUAUAUUUAAGGAGGCACUUCAACACGGUCAACUCAGGCAUAAAAUUGGCAAAAGCAGGAUCAUAUCCAGUACACAAUUGAGACAUCAAUCCAUUUCAUCACCAGAAUUAACAAAUACCUUUAACAUCAGAGAUCCUAGCUGCUCCAUCAUCUCUUUCAACUGCAAUCUUCGUAUUGACCUUUUGCUGGCGUUUAUCUUCAAUUCCUACACAUAAGUAACCAUAUAAGGAUCAAAAUAAUGCACCUAAAAAGGUUAACUUUUUGUAGAUCACCUAUGUGAGUAUAUUUCUAAGUAGGGCCAAUGGAAAACUAAAAGAUCAACAAAUUCCAUUUUAGGGUUAAAAUUGUUAUUCACUGAAGUAGCAUUGUGCUUUUUCAUUUAGAAUAAAAUAAACUGGACUUGGACAACAACCUCAUGAUAAGAAUAAAAUCUUCAGUUAUAUGAGCUUACAGGCUCAAGUGCUCAACUUUAGUCUCCGAGUAAUAGGAAAGACAAGGCUCUAUUGGAAAAGCAUAUAUUGCAGAUCAAACGAAUUCUAUCAUCAAAUAAAGUCCUAUAUUUAGAUGUUAUCCCAUAUUUGAUAUUCCACUAGAUACUUAUGACUAUUUUAAUAUAUCUGCUCUGACAACAUUGAAUUCGAAUGGUAAAAUUCUUUCUUUUUCAUACUAAAUGUUUUUCUUUUUUUCUUUUUCUCUUUCAAAGUUUAAGCUGGGGUUUGGCAGACCCCUACCAGUUUAUUACUUAAUGUCUCAAAAAAAGGAUGCCAUUGGCAUCCUUAGUUACAAAAUUUUGAAGUUCCUCUCGUACAGUAUUACAAAAAGUUAGAUCUCCUUGCAUACUUGUUCCCAAGUUAGAUAAAAAGUCUGCAACCUGGUUGCUUUCCCUAAAACUGUGCUGAAUAUCCCAUUCAAUGUUUUCUAGCAGCAUUCUUUCAAACUAAAUGUUACUUCACCAAAAGUUCAAGCUUAAAGGACGACAGACCAGACUUGAAUCAAAAUCGGUCACCUAAACAUUACUAACUUCAUGCAAUGGCGAGCAUGUAUAUUCAUGACCUAAGUAACUAGAGCGCAGAGUAAGAAUACAUAUUAAAUGAGUCAAUAAGUAUUUUACCUAAUAUUGCUACGAUUCUUUUCGGAGUAGGGAUCAAAUAGUGCAGUUUCAUAGAUGCUAUAUUAGUAACACAUGAGAUAUUGUUACGAUUCUUUUCUCGAUCAUUAGAAAUUGGAAAAGGAACUAUUACUAUAGUUACACAGCAGAGUAAAAAAAAUCAAUAGUUAUACCUAUUAGCCUAUCACUAAGCUAUUAUUACUAUGUAAUAUUUGGUUACCAUUUUAAAUUGACUGGGAAAUUAAACUAAAAUUAAUCAGACUUCACAAUGAUGUCGACAAACACUAAUUUUCCUUUGAAAUCAACAGUUUUUGGGCGAUGGAAAAAGUCAUUAUUAGAUUUGGGCUGUAUUCAACUACUCGAGUCUUGGAUCCCCACUCUUGUUAGCAAUGAAGUGAACUGCCAAGUUUAUAUAUAAUACCAUAUUCAAUUAAUAUACAGAAUAUAGUAAGUUAGUAACGAAUUUGACAAAUUUAUCAAUAUGGUACCCAAACGCAACUUGAAAUAGUGUUUGCCUUAGACUCAACUACAACUGGCGUUUACCAUAACAACUUUGCUAUAACCAAUUUGAGUUGGGGUUUGACUGGUUUCAGUUUCUCAACUGGUGUGCUCCCCACCCAAACCAAUCCAUCGAGCAGAUUGUUUGCUCUAAUUUCAUCAUCUCUCCCACUGGUUUACUCUGGUUCUCUCUUCUAUCUUACACUCCCUCUAUCUCUCACACACUCGCAUAGAAUUUUUCCUUUAAACAAGAACUCUGGUUUUAUCUUACAAAGAACAUAUGCCACUUCUAAUAGAGUCCAACUGUGAACGGGAUCUAAAUUGCGUUGAAAAAUAAAAACGCAAUUUAAAGCGGCGUUUGACUUUUGUGGAUGGACUAAACACAAUUAGAAAUUAUGUUUACUCUGAACUCUAUUUCAAAUCGAGUUUCAGUAUCAUCUUUCCAAAUAUUCAAAAUUUGUUACUAUAUCUUAUAAAUUGAAUUAAAUAUAGUAUUAUUUUAAAAUUUGGCAGUUAAGUGGGAAAAAAAAAUCUGUCAUUCUUCUCUCGUGUAGUAGCCUACAUUGACCUAUUUUUCAUCCCUACUUUUCUUAAGAGUUCCAAGUGUCAAAGUCACUUUCUUCUCGUCUUACCAAAUUACAAAAUAUAACACUUUCUUUGCACAAAAGCAUCCAAAUUGCAAAGCAGAAGCGCGGAGAUUAAAGGUAUGUUUGCUUCACCGGAAUCCAAAUUCCCGGAAAAUGAAGGGCAUUAUAGGAAUGGAGUUAGAUAUGGAGAGGGAAAGAAACACAACAGGGAGAGAAACAGAGACGAAUAAGAAGGAAAUCUGGAGAAAAAUCAAGACUUGACCGAUUUGUCAGACCAGAAAUGGAAACUGGUUUCCAUUUUCCUGAGAAGGAAACCAAACUCCUUUAUGAAAGUCAUACUCUGGAAUCGGCUUUCCGAUAUCUCUUCCUAAAAUAAAGGCAUAUACACUGAUUUUCUGGGAAGUUGGAUUGCGGUGAAGCAAAUGUGCCCUAACUUUAGCCUACUGCAGGAUUUAACACACAAAAACGAUCUUGCAAAAUGAGAUUACUUUAUUUGUGAAUAUUACUUUACAAGUUUAGAAGGAUUUAGAGGAUUUCAGAAGGUAGAGGGCGCCAUGCACCCAGGAGAAGAAACACAUGUGUGAUGUGCUUUUCAAUUACAAGUUAUGUACUAUCCAAAUUCAAAAUCAAAUGACAAUGUAUCAAAGUACAAGCAGAAAAGUUUAUAUACAUUACAAAGGUAAAGAUUUUACCUAUUACUUGUUUAUAUUCUUCUCCUCUUGCUUAGUACGGAAUUAAUGAUAAUUAAAAUAUAAGUACUUAAGAAAUUAGAAUGUAGAAAGACUGCGUACCAUUAAAAGCUGGAAUUUCUUGCUCUCUAUGACAACUUGAUGCCUCUGACCUUGGAGAGUUAUUGACAUUUUUGUUUCUUGCACCCAAGUGUAUAACUAGCUUCUUUCCCUUCACAUUCUCCAACUUGCUAGUUUGUUUUCCAUAACCAAAACCAAGGGCUGGACCAUGUGAUUUACUACUCUUUGUCUCUGCAACUUUGGGGGCCCGCCCAUUGUUAUUUGCCACAACCUCAUCAACAAAAUUGUGCUUCAUAAUUCCUGCUUGAUUAAUAGAGCAUUUCUCCCUUGUGUUGCUUGGACAUCUUAUACUAGGUGACGAUAACCUUUGUAUCCCGUCACCUCUAUAUAGUGGCACAUCGUCAUUUUUUUCAUCACUCAAUGUGAACUCAAUUGAAUUUCUAUCAUGCAGUCCUUCAUAAAUUGGAUGUGCAUCAGAUUUACCCAUUAAUGAGCCUUGAUGCCCUUUUUUCUUUCCAUAUUUUUUGCUCGAUAACUUCUUGCCAUAUUCUUUGGUACUCUUUGUUCCUUUAUUAACUGAACCUUUAACUGAAAUUUUUAAAGAACGUCCAUACUCAUUUUUUAAUACAAUAGGGUUGUAAUCUUCAUCAUCUGAAAAGAUUGGAACGGAAAAUGCUUCCUCAGAGGGCAAUCCAGCGGAGGCCCUAAAGCUCACAAUUUGAUCAUGAUCAGCUUUGUCUCUUCUCCUCCAAAGCUCUUGAACAGCAUCGUCAAGACCAGUGACCUGUCCAUUAUGUACGAACUUAAGACAUUAGCAUUAACAUACACAAAACUUCUCUAAUCAGAACUAUUGCUAACAAUAAUGAUACCUGGUAACACUCUCCACGGCAUGCAGUACAUUUGUAGUGCAAGUUAUCAUCUGCUUGAAAUUGAAGAUACUUUUCAUCACUGCAUGAUACACAAUCAUGUUACAAUGGGACGAGUUGGCUCAGUUGCAGAAUAUCAGUGCGGCUUAUCAUGAACAUUAAAAUUAUAGAAAAAUACAAACAUGAAUAAGUAUCAAAGUUUUAAUACAAAUAGAUCUUCAGUCAAGUUAGAAAUGACAGCGCAAAUCCUAUUUGAAGUUUUGAACAUGAUCUCCUAUCAAUAUUUGUAUCUGCAGUCCUACAGGCUGAUCACAUUUCCAUGUUUCAUACAAUCCUACAGGCUUGACAAUGUAAGACAACCUUAAUCUUGGUCCAAGGAGAAGAAAUGCCCAUUUUGAGCAUUUAGAAAAGUUGCACGCCCCCGAGAGAUGCAAGCCUGAAACGUUUUUAAGGCAUGUACAAGCCGACCAGCGAUGUUGCUCUUUCAAUAGCAGAUUGAGGGCAAAUGCACAUCCUGGCAUACAAUGGGAGCCAAUGAUGGGAGAAACUUAAUGAGCCAAAAUUAAGGAGUAAAGAUAGUGGAGAAGUUCUGUAACGUGUGAUCACUUUGCAAGUUGCAUUGGCACUCCAAUUGAGAGGACUUAACACUGUUGGGUGUAAUAUGAACACUAUGAAGGUGAACAACUUACUAGAGAACUUAAUCCGGAUGCGACAUUUUUUUUGUGAUUUGGUUCUCAAGGUUGUUUUAAGGGAGCAGUGGGUCUUGCAUGCAGAAAUCUGGCCAUGAUGGAUUAUCUAGUCCUUAGAGCCUUGCUAAGAAUGCAUAAUCCAGUCGUCAUGGACAUGUAUCCUAUUCUAUUGAUAAAAUGAAAUACCUAUUCUAUUGGUAAAAUAUUAGCUCAAAGAAAGUACCUCAAACAAUGGUAAAAAAAACAAAAUAUUAUGAUGGAGCAAAAAACUAUCUGCAACUGUAAUCAACACCAAAAGUAAGGAAAAACCUGAUGCCAUCGCAAUGACAGUGCACCCAGCGCUGGCAAACAUCACAGCAGACCAUAGGCGUGGACUCGGAAUCUCUAUAAACCUGCAAAUGUUAGAGAAUGUUAAAUACACCACCACAAAAUAAAUAUGUAUUUAUUUAUGAUUAAUAAAGUACUUCAAAGAGGACAACGUUAUGACUUAACCAGGUAAGGCGAAGAGAGAUACAGGGUGUGCGAUAUAUUAUUAGGUUUAGGGGGUGCGAUAUUUGAUAUUUCAUAGUAUGGUAGUCAUUUAUUUGUGAAAACGUUGCAAAUCUGAUCUGAAAUUUUCAUUUCAGAAGCAAUUUAGCAAGAUCCUUUUGUUGUGAACAAAGCAUUAAGUACAUGUUUACCAUUUUAGUUCAAUGCUUCAUAACAUCGCAACUGUCAUAAUAUGUUGCAAGUAACCCAGUUGAAGCUUACAUUCAAUUUUGUGUAGUUUUCAAACUAUGUGUGCUUGCCAUUUUAAUAAUAAUAUUUGGCAGAUACUUCGAGAUGUUGCAAAUUGAAAGAAAAAUAACUGAUAAUAUAAACGCCACAGCAAGGUUGUUCCUCAUUAAUGUCUACUUUCCCUCGUGGCCUCUCUCAAGUUUUAUUAUGGAGGAAAAACUAGUUGAAUAUUUAUAAUAUAUAAAAGUUGUCCCAACAAAGUUAGUUUGUUCGGCACUAGGUAAAAAGUAAAAAGAGUUAGAUUUUGUUCACAUAGCCCACCUAUAUAAUUAGUACAUGAAUUGUUACUAAUGAGCAGUCGAGCACUGUGUUUGAGCACAAAUAAAUAUAGUUUAAGCGUACACAUAUACAAAUAAUAUGAGUUUUUAAACGCUUAUAAUUAUUGCAAAAUAUUUAUGUACUUAUGCUUUGUGUUGUUAGUCAUAAAUUAGUAAACUACUCAGGACUUGAAUUCAACAUAAGGGAAAAUUUUAUCUACGUACACGUGGAACAGAGUAUGCAAAUUAGACAUGUAUACAAAAACCUCCCUGUUACUAGAUCAAACAGGUAAGAGUAAGACCAACAAAUCAUAUUACUAGACCAAAUGGUUCAUGAUCCAAUACUCAAAACAAAAAAUUAAUGGGGGUGGGGAGCUGGGGUGGGGGCAGGGAGGAGGAGGAGGGAGGGAUACCUUCAAGCAGACUGGACAAUAGUUCCCCUUGACAAACAGUCGCCCACAAGCAUCACAACAGGUGUACCCUAGAAACCAUCUGCAUAUAACGGAGAAUUGGCAUCAUGUUAAUAAAUAAACCACUUCAAGAGUAAACUGAAUUUUAUAAACAGAAGAUAAUCCAUAAUAGCCUACUUCUGCCAGCACCAUCCUUCGCAUUCUAUUAGAUAUUUUAAUAAGAAAGACAUGUAAUCAUGAGAUCCCAAUUAAGAUCACCAAUUUAUCAACCAAAGAUUAAAGAACAAACACCAACAAAACAACACCCCAAUUUAGAAAUUUGGCUAACACGCACUUCCUUUAAUACUCAAACCCUUGCUCUCCUAUAAAAUAUGCCAAAUUAGAUCCAGACUUUAAUGUUGGCAAUAGCCUAGAUCUGUUUCUCCACUGCUCCAAAAUUAUAUUUUAUUUGCAAUCAUUUUCUUUUUAAUUUAUUUUCCUUCACAGAUAAAGAUUAUUCUUUUUUUCUUUCUUUCCAGUACACUCCAAAAAAUUCCCAAAAAAAAAAAAAAAUUAAGACAGAUCUUUGGGAAAAAAAAUUAAGCUACCAAAUUCUACAUACACAUGGAAACCAAUUAUUACGAUUUGUGCAUCAUGUUGUCAGAGGUAAAUAGUCUCGGACACCAAGUACCAACUUCCAAUAAAGUUGGUACAAACCAACCAGCCAUUAAAGUUGCAUACGCAAGGUGGCAAAUUCGCCUACUUUUACUAUCAAAAUGUUCUCUAAACUACUAAAGUGAUUGAACAGCUUGGAGUGGUCACUUGUGUCAUAGCUAAAAGCCUAAAAUGACGUACUCAACCCAUCAUCAACUAAGACAGCAGCCUUAACAAUGCAAUCCACAAUGAUUGUGGUUAUCCAAUCAUUGGCUCUUACUGAAAUUCACUUUUAAAGGUUCCAGGAUUUUUUGUUUUGUUUUAUUUUUAUAAAUAGAAUUAUGUUUGGAAAAAUGAAACAAGUAUAGUGGUGAUACCUUGUACUUGGGCCAUUUCCAGGGACAUUGGACCCACAGCUAUGACACUUCGUAUGCUUUGGGCACAAAUAAGGUCCAGUACAAACAUUCUGCACGACAGCAACAAGCCAAAAAAAAAAAAAAUGGAUGAUCUUUGUUAUCUGGCCUACUUCAUGGAAAGCAAUGGACAAUGUAAGGAAAACUCACCUUGUGGGGAGGCUGCAGACAGUGACAAUGAUAAGCGCCAUCACACCUUUUACAGAACAUGAACUUAGUUGGAUCCGUAGUUCUUCGGCAUACCUAGAACAAGAAAAUGUAUUAUACAUAUUUAAUAUUUCAACAUCUUAUUCCAUUUAGGUGAAAUCACUGAAGGGGAUAAGAAGAGCAACAUUAUGUUUAAACCAAGUUUGACAACUACUAUCAAGGCCAUUUAAAAGAAAGACGUGAGAGGUGAAAAUUCCAGUCAUGCAAAUGGGUAUCUCUAAACAACGGUUGGGUUGCAAACACAUAUAAGUUUCCAUACGUAAUUUAAUGGAGUAAGGGUCCCUACAACCCUGCUUACCAAUCAAAAAAAAAAAAAAAAAACUCUGGGGAAACAGUGCAUCAGCUCUUCCAAACCCACUGAAAUCAUGAAAAGUAUACUUAAAUAUUGAAAACCAUGAAUAGAUAUAACAAAGGAUUAUUCAAGUUACCUCACAAGUUCUACAUGAGGGGCAGACCCAUGAACUCAAGUGAAACAAAUCUGCAUCAUAGACUUGAAUAAGUUACACAAGAAGAAAAAUUAAUGCAGUCUUUAAUAAAGUUUCAGCCAGUAAUUAUGGAACCUCUGUUUUGACCCCAACUAUUCAAACAGCUCCUAUGAUAUUUUUUGUUGCAAAGUUUGCACGCAAGCAUCCUACUUGCUUUUUCACUUCCCUCGUUUUCACCAUCAAAGCAUAUCCGACACAUCACUUUAACACCCAUAUCAUCUCUAGGAAUAUCUACAGUUUCUCCUGCAUUAUCCUGGUGAAAAAUAAUAAUACUAAUAUAUUAACGUGUCUACAAAUUAGAUGUCAAGAAUAGACAAGAUUUUAAUGAAAUUUCAGUGUCAAUACUUAAAAAAAAAAAUCAGAUAGAUGACAUAAACAAUUGCAAACUUGCAAUACUACCAAGUUUGGAAUCCUUUGGAUCAGCAUUAACAAUCAUAAAAAGACCCUAGUUUAAGAUUAUGACUCUCAUCUGAGAGCAUGCCAAAGUAACUAAUGAUAGAGCUCUCUAUUUCCUGAAGAAAACUAAACCAAUCCACAAUCAAGUUAGGUAUGACCCUUCUUUAUGUUGUUUAAUGUUUUGCAAUCUUAUUUAACUAAAACCAUUUUCCCAAAAACUAUAAUCCUAGAAAGGUUAAAAAAAUUCACAUAAUGUAAAUUGCCGGAUACUCAAUUCUAUACAAUUCAAUGAAGAAAACAUAAUCAUCAAGCUCAAUUCUCCAUAAAACAAAACAAUCAACAAAAAUUUCUUACCACAAGUGCCAAUUGUCCAGAUUCAUACUUUUGAACAUAAUCCUCAGUUGCAAUUGAAGUAGCAACAGCUCUCUUUUGUAAUGCAGUUCGUUUUGAAUGUAACAACAUAAGUUCCUCACCAUCUCCUCCACCACUAACACUACCACUACCAGCACCAUAACUAUCUCCAAUUCCAAAUCCAUCAACUACCUUAGUUAUCGUUGUUGUCGUAACAACAGCAAUUGGAGGUGGUGGUGGUGGUGGUGGUAUAACCUUUGGAACUACAACUUGUACAGUACUAGUACUCUCUUUAGACCUAAUUGACCAUGGAUCAUUCAAGAAUUCUUCAACCCUAAAAACUUCUUCCAAGAAAUCCUUUUUCGCUUUCUCACUUUGAAUCUUCUGCGGAAACCCUAAUUUGCAGAAACAGAUUCGUUGACUGCAAAAUCAAAUUAAACCAAAACAAACAAACAAAAAAAAACCCUAAUUAGAUGAACGAAAGAGAAAUUAAUAAAUUUAGAGAGAAAGUUAAACUAACCAAGUAAUUGGACAAGCUACGUGAAAAGCCAUUAUCAAGGAGUAAAAUUAGCGGGAUUUUUAACUCAUUUAAUCAAAAGAUUUGAAAAUUAAGAAAAAAGAGGGAAAAAUAAUAAUAAUAAGAUGGGUGGAUGUUUGUUAUUUGUUAUUUGUUAUUUUUCUUUCUCGGAAAUUUAGAAGAGAGAGAUAAAAGAGAGAGAUAGAGAGAGCGAAAGAGAGAGAGACGAAACGAAAGAAAAGAACUGUGAAGGAUUUGGGGCAAAAAGUUUUGAGAACCGGAUGGGUAACAAUUGAGUGUCUUUUAUGUAGAAGUCCAGAUCCAGUUCUAAUUGGGCACAGCCCAUGAAGCCUUUCUAUAGUAGUCUUCUUCCCACCCAAACAAGUCGUCAAAAAACCCAAAUUUUAGAAAUAGUUAAAAGUUGUCAAAAAACCCAAUACUAAUUUACACUAUUGUCCUUAUUUAUAUAAUUAAUUAUUUGUUAAAUUUUGUCAAAAAAACCCAAAGCUAAUUUACACAAAACUAACUACUUCAAAGAAACAUCCUCCCCAUAUUCUUCCACUUGCAAUUGUGUAUCAAAAUCAUCUAAACAAAGAAUUUUAUUGAGGUCUAUAUCCAUUAUCAUAUUGAAAAGUAUGAUAUGAUUUUUGGACGAGUAUUUAUUUAGCCGUUUAGAAAAAGAAAACUAUUAUGUUGUGUGUUCCUCAUAGUGAAAAAUCUGUUUAAUUUGUGUUCAUCUUGUCCACCAAAACCCUAAAAACUAUAUUUAGAAGAAAAAAAUUCAUUAAAUUUCUGUAAGUGGGCUUUUCCUCAUAACAUGCAGUGGGCUUUUUCUCUAAACAAGUUGGGUUUUUUGACAAAAUAUUGUUAUUAAAUUUAUUCAAAAAUAGGGGUACAAUAGUAAAUUAAUAUUGGGUUUUUUGACAACUUUUAACUAUUUUUAAAAUUUGGGUUUUUUGACGACUUGUUUGGGUGGGAAGAAUAACACCCAAAAAAAAAACUCUUACAAUAGGUGGAGGACAUGUGUGCUACAAAAUACAAUGCAAGCUCUUUCUAAAUAGCGAAUCUGUAAAAAUAAAAUAUAAAAAUUUAGAUAUACACCCAUUUGAAAGUGGAAAGUUGAGAUACCCAAAUUUCAAGACAUAAAAGAUUUACAGUUGCAGAUUAGUUUUAUAAUGGAUGGUUUAGAUAACACCACAAUUAAAAAUGGUGGACGAGGUCUAAACAAAAUUCAAAUGGGGUAUCUCAAACUUCCACUUUCGAAUGGGGUUAUGUCCAAAACUUAUAAGUGUGUUAUUAUCAGAUAGGGGAAUGUCUUUCUUGACUUUUCGAAAGUAAAAAAGUAAAAAAGUAGAAAAGAUGUUCGGCAAACCCAAAUAAAAGAUAUAGAAAUGAAUUUCAAUAAGUCGGGAAAGGUAUGUUUCUAGAAGUUUUCUAUUUAAACUUCUUCCUUCCAUCUUUCUCCUUUCUACUAUGUUACUUUUACGGGAAUUCCUUCACAUCUUCCACUUGUUUAUCGAACGGGCCCAUAAUGUAUUUUUAAUAGGCAUAAAUAUAUUCAAAAAUACGAAUUUGAAUAUAUACAAAGAAAGUUUUUUAUGUCAAUAACAUAUAUUUACUUAAGUAUUCCACAUAAAAUUGUUUUAUUACCAGAGUCGAACACUAUUUGUUCCAAAAAAUAAAACAAAAUUAAUACCAAGAGUCAUGCGAGUCAAAAAGAAGUAGUACAAGUGAUUAGAGGUAUGAUUUCACAUAAAUUACAAAACAAUAAACUUUAAUUACGUUUAGUAUUACAUGUAUGUUGCUAAGGAACUAUGUUUUCAAUUAAUAUAGUAAAGUUAAUCCAAACAAUGGAUUGAGAAGGAAUAUAUUGGUGGGUAUAAUAAUUUUGACAAAAUUUUAAUAAAAGUUAUUAUAUUAUUGAAAUUCUAAUGGUGUGUGUUGGUUAGAGGAGACAAAGCUCGUGAUCCCGUGGAAUUGUACGAUGAGAAAUUGGUAAUGCGUGAAAAUGGAUGAUGUGUUACGAGAUGGCUUUAUGGAUAGCUUGGAAAUGUUAAAGAAAGAAAGACAAAUAAAAAAUAAAAAAUUAUUUCUAUUUGUUUUCCUUUAAAAUUUAUGUUCUCUUUAUAUUUCAAUUUGUGUUUUUUGUUUUUAUGUAUAUAAUGUUAAAACCACUACGUAACCACUAUUUUAUUAUCUUUAUGUUCGAGCCAUGUUCUCUAACCAUUUUUUUGUGUAUUUGGAUCAGAUUUUCUGCCAUAGUCUUUAUUUUUUGUAUAGUUUGCACGGUCCAACAAAUAACCUAAUGCAUAUGAUUACACCUUAAAAUUUUCAUAAAAACCCUAAAACUUGGUUAAAACGCACAAAUAAAAUCAAAGAUCUACCAAAUCAAAAAUUUACAAAAAAUCGAAAACAAAAAAAGAAUGGAUAGAAACAAAAAUGUAAAGACAAAAAAAAACACACACACACAAAAAAAAAAAAAAAAAAAAAAAACCCUUGUCUCGAAUGGCAAUUUUUUUCUUUUUGUUAUUUAACUUCAAGAUUAUAACACAAAGACAAAACAUAAUAUAAAAAAUUUAUAAAAAUUAAAUCUAAUCAUAUCAAUAUCAAAAUGAAUACAAUAUUAUUAUGACGGGGCAACAAAACACGUUGGUGUACCUUUUUGAAUAGCAAAACCAAUCCUAAGAAAUACAUAUUCAUUGGAAUCCUCAUGUCAUCACAUUACUAUUCAUCACUUUUUUUUCCCCUAAUAUGGCAAAUUUUUUGUGACAAUCAACUUUGGUCAACGACACACGAACAAAUAAAGUCCUUGUCAACAUUUUUUUGAAUGGUUCCUGCUGCUCGUGGUUCUUCUGGUAUUGCGGCAUAUAUGCCAAAAAAGGUGUAGUUUACUGGGAUUAUAAUCUCCUUACAUCAUCUCGUGAAAUUGCCAAAACUUAGGGCAAUUUCGUCAAUGUAUAAAACUUUACUUUUUUAUUCUCUUAAUUAGUUUUUAAAUUGUUACAUCAUUUCAUACUGAGGUCUGUUUAUGUAUUUUAUUAUCUUUAUGUUCUAAGCUUUUUUUUUUGUUAAGGUUAACUUUUCUGCUUCAGCAUUCUUAGAUCUAGGGACUACUACAUUAAAGAUAGUUGCGUAUGGAACGCAGGGUCAUCAAGUAGUUAUCUCAGCUUCUUAGGGUGUGUUCUUCACCUCUGAUUGCAAAGUUGUUGUUGGGGAUGUUGCUACGAUGAUAAAACAUAGAGGUCAUAAGUUGAUUUUCGCUAUCAAACUUCUUCUUGAAAAGCAAUACAAGGACCCUAUAGUUCCGCAGCUGAUUAGUAGAUUCCCUUGUGAUUAUACAAUCGUUCAAGGAAGGGACGGGGAGGCGUUGAUGGAAGCCUAUGGACAGAGAUAUUCUCAUGUCCAAAUUAUCGCCAUACUUAUUUAUCAUUUGAAAUAGAAAGCUGAAGUGAGUUUAGGAGAACCAUUAUCUAUGGUUAUUUUGAUUGUGCCAUCAUAUUUUGAUGAAGUGUAGAAAAAAAAAAACUUUUUUACAAGCUAGCAAGUUGGCUCCGUUUGAAGUUGACAAGAUCGAGCUGGAAUCGAUUAGAGCAGCAAGGUACUAUGGAUUGUUAGAGAAGCCCCGAGGAUAUGUUAUUGUGAUUGAAUGUGGGGGUGGAAUUCUAGAUGUCACAUUGUAAUCCCAUAACGGAAGAGGAAUAAUGUCAUCAAACAUUAGAGUGCCAUAAUGUGUAAGGGUCAUGCUAAUCUUCUCUAUAUUGUUCAUUGUCAAUCACAAGUUGUUGAACCCGUGCUACACACCGGGAUUUGUGUUAUUCAAUAAAAUGGAAAAUCACCAAAUUUUUUUAAUGCCUUUCUCAACCUAAAUUUGUAGAGAUUUUAUAAUGACUUUAUAAAUGAUUUGUUGAACCGAGUUUUUUUAAUGCUCUUCUUAACCUAAAUUUGUAAAGAUUUAUAAUUAAUAUUUUUUGUAUUUAGUAUGGUUUUUAUAUAUGAAUUAAGGAUUUUAAUAGAAAAAGAAUUUAGUAGGAAAAAGAGAUUUAGAAUUAAGUUCUAAAGGGUUUUAAGGUUUCUAUAAAUCUUUGUUGACAAUUGACAUAGAAGGUGGAUUUCCUUUUUAAUUACAACUGGGCUUCAAUUGAGCUUAAAGUUGGGCUUAAGUUCUAUUCUCAAGUUGUUGAGAACACGCCACGUGGCAUUUGUUAGGCUCCACUAUUAUAUAGUAUAUAGAUUUUAUGGAUUUAAAGUUUGAAACUAUGGAAAUGUUUAGUACGCCGUCCAUGUUUAAAGUAGUUUUUUAUAUUAUGUUUGUUUAGACUAUCUAUUUCAUUAACCUUGAUUAUUGAUGUGGGUGUUGUUUGAUAGUAAUUAAAUGUUCAAGAGAAAUUAAUAAAUCAAAUUAUAUAAAUAAUAAUCCUAUGUGUAUAUACUUCACCAAUUUUCACUUAUUUAUUUGAUGAAACUGUAUAAAAAUAAACAGUGCAUUCAAAAACUCAAGAUGGAAACUUGCUACAUCAAUUAGAAACAAGAACUCAAGAUUGACUGGUCCACAAAUUUUGUCAAAGUAGUUUUAGGUAAAUAGACUUUCCAAGCCAUAACAAUCGGUAAUUUUCGGUGUUUAAAAAUGAACCGAGCCCAAAUUUUAUACGAGCUUAAUUAAUUUUAUACGAGUUUUGUUUGGUGUUAAAAAUCGGUUCGUUUAGUUAUAUGAACAACCUUGAGCCAAACUAUAAACAAGCCGAACAAGUCGAGCUUUAGUAUGUUCAAGCUCGAUUCAUUUAAAAACAAGCCGAGCUCGAGCCCAAAUUUUAUACAAGUUUCGUUUUGUGUUAAAACUUGGCUCGUUUAGCUAUAUGAACAAGCUCGAGUCGAACUAUAAACGAGCCGAGCUCGAGUUGUUCAGUUCGUUUAACAGACCUAAUUAUAACUCUCACGAUCUCACACUCAUCCUCUCUCUCUAAAAAAAAAGAAUUUUCUUCUAACAGUUUUUUUGUUCCUUGCAUUAUUGUUCGCUCCAAAUAUAACGCGUGGAACACUUAGAAGCUAACCUAGCCCAGUUGGUAAUACCUUUGGACGAUGAUACUAGAGGUUUAGGGUUCGAUCACAUGUAAUGCAUCUUUGAGUUACUGAUCUCGUUAAAACCAGGCUUGCCAAUAGAAAAAAAAAAAAUUAAAAAUUGAACACGUGAGUACCACGUGCAAUUUAGGGGUAUUUUCUAAAAUCCGUAAACGGUAGUCUUAAUAGAAUUUGUACUAAAACCUAAUCAGAGCAUUAAAUCACAUCAAAACCUAAAUCACCUAUUUUUAAAUGCACCAAAACCUAAAUACCCCAAAGGGUAUUUUCUAAAAUCCGUUAUUGGGCUUCCAAUGUCGACACAUUACUAAGCCCAAAGUAAAUUAAAAGCCCAAUAGACAUCGAGCAGAUGUAGAAAGAGUGAGAGAGCACAUUAGAGCAGAGCAAGAAGAAGAAAGAGAAGGGAAGGAUGUUGUCAGUUCCACUACUUCAAACCGUAGCAGCGACAUCUUAUUGUUCAUCUCCGCAGCAAAUCAAAUCCCAAACAAGUACGAGGAGGAGAGAAAUGACCAGUCUACCUUUCCAUGCUCUUCGUUCUUCUAUCAAACAUAAGGUAUUUGCAAUUAACAACCCCCAUUAUUAUGUUUAUAUAUUCCAAUUUCAAUUUUUAGUGUUAGAAUGAACAUUUUGAUUGGGUUAAAGAUGAACUAGAAUUUGGUUAUUUUGGCAGUUUUAGUGAAUUGAAUGGAAGGAAAGAAUGGGGUUUACUUACCUAAUCCAAAACAUUUAGGAUAAGGCUUUGUCAUUGGAGAGUUUUAAUCAUAUAGCUCUUAUUAGGGAUUUAGGUGUUUCUUGAUUGUAGCUCUUUUGCGUCUUUUUGCCAACGAAAUGGAUUAGUUUUACUUUUACAAGUAGCUUUUCUACCAUACAAAUUCCAAAUGCAGUCAUAUUCAUUCAAGUUAUAUAUUCAAAUGGAUUAUAUAACUAUUUUAAUAACGAAGGAAUCUGUUUGGAUGGUUCUUAUACAAUGGUUAUUACUGCUAUCAGUUCACUGUUCACAUGCCUUUAUCAUCAGUAGAAAAACUCCAAUGCAAACUGAAAUUGAGUAUUUCACUCUUUUAUACAACCUAGCCACUCCUUCAAGUCAUGGAAUUUUGUUUUAGUAUUGUAUGAAAUUUACAACCGUCAUUAAUCCUUGUUUUCUUCUUGUUUUUGGGCAGGGCCUUGCGCCUUAUCGCGGUCUGAAUUACCUCUUUUUGAGUUCUGGACGACGGGGUUGGUAUCCGUUUCAGAAUACUAGUCCAAUUGUCUGUUGCACCAUGAACAUGGCUGAAGGAGAGUCUGCUGGCCCCAGGAAACUAAAUUUGGACCUUAUAGUGGGUGAAAUACAUAAAGUUUGGGCAAGCUUACCUCAGCCAGUCAAGAGUUUUCCUUGGACAGAAGCACUGGAAAACUUCCUUGAAUUCAUACUUGGCCUUGUAUAUGCAGUUGCGAAGUACUUGUCUGUACCAUUACUUGCAUUAACAUCAUUGAGUGAGAUGUCCUACUGUGCACAUGAAAGGAAGAUGCGUCUCAUACCCAUCCCGUUACUUGUUGGGAUCGCCAUGGCUGGAAUUUUCAGGGACACAACCCUAGAGCUGUAUCCACAACUCAAGGUUCGACAUCAUACUCUUAAGCUUGGGAAAUAUUAGGAGCUAAAUGAGUUGAUCAUAAUAAUGGUUUAAUGGCAUAUUGUCACAUAUCAAACUCUAUUCAUUGAAUAUAAUCGUAACAUAUAUACUUUUUUUCUGAAUCUUUCACCAUAUCAAAGUACUUUACUCUCCUGUAUUGACUGUUAGAAAGAAGCUACUCGAAUGCCGUGCAAACACGAUUCUCGAGGAGCUACCAGGCAAGACAAAUCUACUUUUAGCUACAAGGCCCAAGCCAAACCCAAGUUCCUAUUGAGUUUGAUUUGGUGUCCUAAUCAAUUGGUUACAAUUAGAAAAAUGUGGAAAUUAACCACCCUUGAGUGCGGUGUCAUACUGUGCACAUGAAAGGAAGAUGCAUCUUAGACUUAUCCCAUUGCUUCUGUGGAUCGUCAGGUUGGGGUUAUGUAAGACAUAACUCUAGAAUUGUAUUUACAACUCAAGGUUCAAGGAUUUUUUUAGUUAUCAUAAUGAUGGUCUAUUGACAAUCUGUCACAUGCCAUACAAGUGCACAUUCUUCGCAGUUUUGUGGUCUUCUCCAAAGAUUAUUUAAAUGAAUAUGAACAUUGUAACAUAUUUUCUUCUAACUGGUUUUUCCACCAUAUCUAAGUAGGCUGCAGAGUUUGUUUUGGUGUCCUACCCAAUUGUUUACGAUUAAGAUACCUACAAAGAGAGCUCUUGUGGAUUAUAGUAUUAUAUUGUUUCACUAUGCAGCAGCAUGAUAAUGUUCUAUUCUUAUCAUCAAUCCAUGGCUACUCUGAAUUUUCUUUUCUUAGAUCGUAUAUAUCAUAUUUUACUUAUCGUGGUUUGUAACUGAAGAAUUCAUUUAAUGAUCAGGAAGGAGAUUUCCCCAGGCAUCUGCUAGCUGUCGCAGCGGUAUUCAUAAUGCUUAAACUUCCAGGCCCCUACUACCCUUACUGGGGACGCAUAUUUAUUCCACACUUUGCAAAUGGUGGAUUAUUGAGGAGUUUAUGGUUUGCUCUAAUGUGGUAUAGAAGGUCCCCAGAGGCACAAGAAAAGACAACGCAGCAAACUUCACCAAAUGAUCAUCAGUCUCAGCUGGAGCCCUGAUAAUGCAGAGAUUCCCCCUCACUGCAUAAUGUGGUGUGGGACUUUCUUCUCAAGGUAGGAAUCUACAUUCACUCUGGGAAUCAUUGCAAAGUUUUGAAGUAGGGGCAUGUUUAGUGGGAACACGAUGAUAUAAUGGAGCAAUAUUAGAUUCAAUGCCAGAUGAAUCAGACAUUGUUAGGGUUGUUUGAUAGUUUAAAUAUAUGGUUUGGGAUCUAACAGAAAGCAAUCUAGUUGUACUAAUGGUCCACAUUAAGCUCACCCUUAAAUAUACAGCAACAUGAGUCCAUAUUGGUUACUGCCUUCCCUCAAGUAUUAUUCCCACAAGUUCUAAAUUUUGUUAUAGUGAAAAUGUUAAUUUUGUUUUUUUAUCUAAGUCAGUAAACAUCUUGUAAUGAAAAUGCUCACGAGUAUGCGAAAAUAGUUUGUUGUAUUAAGUAGUAGUUAUUAGUUUGGGACAUAGCUCUUCCUGUUUGUUUGAAUUGCUAGAUGACAGAGUCAAACUGUUUUUACUUUGGCUUCAAGUUUGUUUUAAGUGGAGAAAGGAAAAGGUUGAAGUCAUUUUCCAGAUUAUUUUACUAUUAACUUAUUAAGUAGAUGUCUUAUAGCCAUAUAAUGUGAAAAUAUUCUUGAUUUACAAAGACAUUUUAUAUUUCUCUGUCAAGUGUACCAGGAUCUUUCGACAGAUGGAUAGGAAUUAGGUUUCCUUAUUACUUGCAUUUGGUCGAAUGGAAAAGGUCAAUUAUAAAGUAUUCGAGUGGAUAGAUAGGUCUGUCAAACAUGAGAGAAGAAUUUGCUUCAGUGAAGUUUGACGUGUAUGCUACUAGCUGGGCAUAAAUAUUGCUUGCUUCUGAUACCCAAUUUCAAAUUGCUUUCUUAGAUAGUUGUUGUGGUUGAAAAUUUAGAUUUGGAGAUUUUCAAACAGUUGUUGUCUGUGUAUGACAUGGAUGAGGAUUUCGUAGAUGGUGUUAAUAUUUGGUUAAUGAAGUUGUGGAAUUUAGGUCUGUAGAUGACCAAGAUUGACUUUAAAUUGAUACGAGGAUAACAUUAGGAUUUAGGAUCAAGGUUUGUGAUACAGUAGUAGCUAUGUAAGUAAGGAUGGGCGAGGAUCUGUAGUAGCUAUGUUCUGUCCAGUUGGACCACAGGCUAUAAUCACCAGCUGAAACACUAUUGGCCUAAGAACCACCAUAUCCACUUGACCCAAAUGUUGAAUUACUAGUCCAGAACAACCAUCUGUGUCCGAAAUGCAAAAGCUAUCAAACAUGGGCAGGAAUUUGUUUGCACUAUGAAGAUAACAUUAGGAUCAAGAUCAAGCUCUGAUUCAAAAAACUUUUGUUUUUUGUCCAAAAGAAUGCGUUAACAUGAUUUCUAUUUUUGGCAAGAAAAGGCAUGGACCAUUUUUAAAUAAAAACCUCUAUGAGCUGAGUAAGCAAUGAAGCAUCACAUCUUCUUUCCCUUCUUCACUUCAUUCUUGUAUGUUAUCUAUAAAAGACAAAAAGAUAGCGCGUGUUGUUUGCAUGUAUUUCUCGAGAAAUGCAUAAAACCUCUUCAUUUCAAAUAUCUCCUUUUACAAUAGACGAGGAACAAACAACUAGCCUUUAUUAUCUCCAAUACAAACAAUACUCUUAACUCUUUCUCUCUUCUCUCUCUCUCUCUCUCUCUCUAGUCUCUAUAUUACUCUACUAGUGUUCUUUUCUUUACCGUUGUGAUUCGAAAAGAAUAAAACCACUUUCUUUUUUUCACAAAACCACUAUUAAUAAUCCGACAAAAGUCAAAACCACUAACAAACAAACUAAAAAGCGGUUUUGCUUUUCUCAGAGAAGAAACCAUUUCGAAUUCAAAUUCAACAGUAGUGAAGAGAAUGUCGACAGUUAGAAGACCUAGAUGGUAUCCACCACCACCUCCAACACCUAAAAUCCUUAACAUACCAAGAAGAACUCGCCGGAAAGUUAUCAAACCGAUCAUCGGAAAACCAGUUACAGAGAAUACUACUACUACUCGAAGGUGUUAUAAAGGAAAACUUGAAUCGUUAUUUGAUCAAGAACGAGUUUUCUCAAGAACUGUUCCGAUCGUUUUGUUUAAUUCAGGUGGAGGAGAUUGUGAGAGAAGAGAAAGAGUUGAAGAAAUUGAUUUUAGAGAUAGAAGUAGAAGAAGAGGAGAUAAAGAAGAAGAAGAAGAAGAAGAAGAAGAAGAUGUUGAAAAACAGAAAUGGAGAUUUCAAGCUGAGAUUCUUCGAGCUGAAUGUAAUUUUCUUAGAAUGGAAAGAGAUAUUGCUUUAAAGAAACUGGAAUUAAAUCGUGUUCAAACCAAAAGAACUCUUCGUUCUGCUGUUGAAACCCUAGUUUCGGUUCGUUUUGCUCUCUGUUUUCAAACUUUUCAUUCAAAUCAUUCUUUCUAAGUUUUUUAAUAAAUUGAUCAAAUAGUUUCUUUAUUUCUACAGGGAAAAGAAAAGAUAAAUGAAGGAAGAAAUGCAAGUUCUGUAUUGGAAGAAGAGAUCGGAGAUCUUGAAGACAAACUGAAAGAGUUACAAAGAAACUCUGGAGUUAGAGAUUUUGAGUUUAGAAAGUGUAGUAACUUUGAUAAAGAAGCAUCUCUUCUUCAAAAAAGGUUAGAGAAGCUUGGAGAAGGAUUGUUAUCUGAAGAGAAAUGUGUUAAAGAGAUUCGUCAAAUGGCUGAAGCUAGUUUAACGAUCAAAACAUAUCGGAAGUUUGAUCAGAGUUUCAGUCCUGAUCGUGAAAUCCGAUUCAAAGACGUAAGAUUCCGUUACAGAUAACUUUAAUUUCAAUUAAUUUGCUUGAAUUCAUCAUGAAGUUCGUUCCUGUGAAAUUUUGAUUAUCAAUACCUUUGACCAUUGUCAAAGUUGUUUGACGUAGUCAAGGGAUGGUUGAUUAAUUUGUUAUAAGCAAAGAUUCUGGAUGUUAUGUUAAUUAUUUAUCUUGGAGUAAUACUAAUUGAAAACGUGAAGUUAACUUCUGUUUAAGUUAUAAUAUUGUUGAUUUGGGUUUAAAUAUUAUUAUUUUUUUUUGAAAAAAAUAGGUAGAGAUAUUGAGGAAGAAGAUGGAGAAAUUGUCAAAAGGGAUGUUGGAGAAGAUGGAAGAGGAGUACGGGUCACUGCUACUUUCUUCUGCAAGUGGUAGUGGAAAUGCUAGUGCGACAAGUUCUGUUUCUAGCUCCAGGCGCAUCGAAUUUCCUCUUUUGUCCACUUCUGCUCAGACUCAAUCUUUGCUCCAUCACAAGGCAAGUUAUCUCACUCUCUCUCAUCAUUAUUUUUGAACUUCCCUAGUACCAUGUCCAUCACUAUGAGUUUGAUAUUAUUCACUGGGUGGGAAUCAAUUAAACUCACAAACAACCAAACAUAUGGAUUAUCAGUUGUUGUUUUCUAGCAGAUGCAUAUUAGUCCUACUGAUAUGAUAUCUACCCUUUUUUGUAUCUAUCACACAACAAAUUUAUGGUAGAGUGAUUUUGUAGGAAUUAUUAGUCCUACUGAUAUCUACCCUCAUUUUGUUGAUAUCUAUGGGUAGCAAUUAUGGGCAUGUUUUAUAGUACUGUAUCAUCAAAUACUUUGGCACAUUACUUGAAAUCCAUGGGUACAAAAAUGUGGUAUGCUUUCUUCCUUAUUUUUGUAACAUUAUCAAAUCAAUAAAAUGUUGUGUGUAUGUGUUGUAUUGAAUAUUUGAAUGUGGUUAAUACUGGAAAAAUAGAUUUUGAAAACACAAGGGACUUUCAGGAUGGGUUGUUAAUUCUGUAUGCCUUCCCUCGAGUGUAGCAGAACUGCAGACGUGCAUCUACUGUCAGGGUCCCUCAUUAAAUGUUUCUUAACAUGCGUGUGAUAGAGCCCCUUCAAACCAUUAAUUAUUACACUGUGAUUCUUCUCAUGAUAACGAGGUGCCUUAUUAUUUAUUAACACAGCGGCUUUAGUACGUUGCUCUCCUCUGACUUUUAUUCUGCUCUUAUGCUCUUCCCUUUUAAUGCACUUGAUCCAUCAUGCAAUUGUUUCCACGUCCUGUUAUGCAUCAGAUCAAUCCCUCAAGGCAUCAAGCCUCUUUGUUGUAAAAUGCCAAAAUUUAAAUGGGUAGGACUUUAAAACUUCUGUAUGAAUAGCAUUCUGUACUGUGGUCCACUCUUUCCAAUCACUGAUUUGAAACUGAUUUGAAUUCAUGGCUGAGAUGCUCACUCAAUAUAGUAUAACACGUGGUAGCCACUGAUUACUUUAUGAUGUAGGUCCCAUGUACUCCACAUGGAAUAACUGUAACUUUUACCAAAUAUCAUGAAAAAACUGAGACCAAUCACAUUUUGCUUCUGCAUGUUUGUUAUACAUUGCUAUCUUUUCCCCAGAUAUUUAAAUUUUUUUUUGUUGGUAACCUCAAAACCAGGAUGUUAAUGAACAUUUCAAGCUCACACAAAAGUGAUUAUAACAUUUUUAAACAAAUUUGAAAUUUUCAAACCAUUUGUUUGUUUAUUGACUUUAUUCUAAAUUUCUAUAUAUUAAGGACUUUGUUGUAAUUAGCGGACAGAAUGCCAGAAUGAAUAUGGGUAAUCAAUAGCUACCUACGCAUCCAACACAUGGACUAGAAGUCUAGAAAUGAUGCAAAAUGAGCCAGCAGGAAACUAAACUUACCAGUUGGUGGCAAUAAGGCCAAUCAGGUUACCAAAUCUGGGUCUUCAUUGCCUAUGGACAGACCCAAUGAAUCAAACUCAGUAAUGAUGAUUAAUCAAUAAUCAAGGUUAUCUGGUUUUGUACAUAUCUUUUGACUUAUUGACUGUGUCAUAUGAGUAGAUAGAACAGCAAGAUCUUCAAGGGAUGGUAUCAUAGUACUAUGUUUUAAAUCAACCUAUUGUAUUGACUAUCAGGAAAAUAUGUUCCAUGAGGACAAAAUAUGUUCAGGGCGAUGCAAAAAAAUUGUACGGAAGAUUGUGGAAGAGGUAAGAGCAGAGCUGGAUCAGUGGUCACAGAUGCAGGAGAUGCUGGAACGAGUGAGGGAUGAGAUGCAAGACAUGCAAAAUACCCGUGAUUUCUGGCAAGAUCGUGCUCUUAAUUCUGAUAACCAAGUUCAAUCACUGCAGUCCUCUGUAAGAUCCCUUUAAACUCUUACCACCUUACUUUAUACACACAUGUUUUUGUCUACACAGAUUUGGAGUUUCAGGUAUCAAACUGCCAAAUCUUCUCCUGCAUGGGCCUGGAGGCUAAACCAUCCAGUAGGGACUUAGUGUUUCAAAUUUGGUUGAGUUUUAAAAAGGACUUGUGAUUUUCAAUUAUGUAUAUUUAGCAUUUUAGCCCAUUUAGUUGUGGGUUGGCUUACUCAGUUGCACUUAGGUCUCAUUAUUUUGGGCUUUAGCUUUGGAUAUGAGAAUAACUGAAUAGGCCUGCCCUGUUAUUACUUGGGUGAUUUAGGUGCAAGAAUGGAAGCAGAAAGCUAGAUACUCUCAGAGCAAGGUAACAGAGUUAGAGAAACAUAUUAAUGAGCUCCAUCUCCAGCUUGAAAGAUUGAGGGAUGAACCUAAAAUGGAGUCCACAAAGGUACCACAAGAUACACACAAAGAGAAGGAAAAACGUGUGUUGAUAUGUAGGUUGAAGGAGAACCACCAAAGAGAUUUCAAUGGCAACAGAAAGAAAGAAACAGGCCAUGGCAUGUGGAGGAAAGAGCAAGUUAUUGGCAGUGGCUCUGUUGUACCAAAGCGAUCACCUCUUCGUGAUAUGCAGAAUUCACCUUUGCCUUGGGAUAAUACCAUCAGUGUCCCCUUUGCAAUGCCAUGAGUUUUUUUUUCAUGUGGAAUACUUGAAGAAGCAAGUUUUGCAAUACUGCAACAAUUUACUUCUGGAAAAGUAGAUCCAUAUGAGAUUCUGAGACAUCAUUUACAAGGGUUUGUGGAAAAUAUAAAGUAGAGCUGGUAUAUGCGGAUAUGCCAUAAGGAGAAAAUUACCUGUAUGAGAGGAAAGAACAUUCUUAGGUAUAUUUGGACAAGAAGAGAAGGUCCUCUUGUAACUUUGUGUCAUACAUGGAAGGGUAUAUGUUCAAUGUAAAUCAAGACGUUUCAGCCACUGGUAGAAUAUAUUGUGAGUAGUUGGAUCAUCCAACUUGGAUGCAGUGCAACUUAAAGAUCUCACUAAAAAAUACAGAUCGGCCAAAAUGCAUUUGAUCCAACUACUUACAAAUAUUGCCCAGUUAGCGAAUUUCAGUAAAAUAAAGCUUCAAAAACAAGUUUCCAAUUCUUCUGACUCGUAGCCUUCAUAGAUUAUUUGUUAAAAUUUGAUUAUAUUGAAGCUUGUUUUAUACUACCAGUUAACUUAAUUAGGUGCAAGCUAGGAAUAUCCUGGGAGCUAAAAGUAGCAAACCUAAUAAAGGAAUAUGCCAAAGGGGGAGAUAGUAACAAGGAGAUUCUAUCUAAUAACGUGUAAAAAAAAUGCUUUGUGUAUGCCUGUGCCCUCUGGAGCUUAAAGUUUGUUACGAUUUUUGUUUAGCUAACAAUGCCAUGUUCCCUAUUUCGUCAAAAUUUAGAAGCAAGAUCAGAUAAUCAUGCAACCUAAUAAACAUUCCCAAGAUUGUCUGUUUGAGCAAUAGCUAAACCUUCUUCUUCCUCCUCCUUGUCAGGAUCAGGAUGGCGCAUAGCCUGAUAGCCCUCAAUGAGACCCUCAUUUGGCCUAAUGUGCGGUUAUACUUUGCUACACAUGUAUUCAAUUAAUUCUGUAAAAGCUUGAUGAUUGAUAGGAUUAGAGUUGUUCAUUUGUAUGGUUGGCAAACUUUGUUAGGUAGGAUUGGCCGUUUCUUAGUACAGUUUUGGAUUGACAGCAUUAGAGUUGUUCAUUUGAUCUGAAGCACUCUGACUGCUAUCGUACAGUUCUGUACAAUAGCAUACAAACCAUGGUUCAAAAUUCCGAAUUCAGGCAAAAUUUCGAAUUUCAAACAAAAAAAGAACAUAUUCCGAUAUUAUUUCGACACUCGAAACAAAAAAGUCAUCUGAAUCUAUCGGGAAUAUUCUCGAUUAUUCCCAGAUUUUAAAAUGCCAAUUUUUUAAAAACCGGCAUAUUUCGUCGAAAUUUCGCGAACUAUUAAGACUGCUUCAGAUCAUACUACAAACUAUUAAGACUGCUUGAGAUCAUAUUUCAUAACUCCAGAACCUCACUUCAUCAGAAAAGUUAUGUUCUCCAGUAGCCAUGGUACCUAACUUUUGGUAAACUAUAUUUGUCUAUUUUGGCUAUGAGUCUGGUUACAUUCUGGUUAAGUGGUCACUAUUGUCAGUUUUAAUACCCCUAUCUGCCUAUCAUGAUCAAUCACAAUAAUAAGAAUUAGGCAUGGAAACCUUAAAAUAGCAUAAAAUGAAAGGGACCAUCAUCAACCAUUAAUCAAUGAUGAUAACAUGAAAAACUAUAAUAAAAGGGUCCACAUGAGUAGGAAAAUGUAGACAUAUGAGCUAAUCCAAGUACAAUCACCAUGUGGUGGCCAUGUAAGAAGCACUAAGCCCAAUCACACACUUCAAGACUUUAUAUAAUCAAGGGUACCCUACUACCCUAUAAUCAAAUCAAAACUUGAUUCUUAAAGGGAACAAUGUUUUUCACUCCCAAAGCUUCCUUAUCAUUAUUAAUUAAAACUUACUUAUAAAAAUGCUUUCUCUAAUAAUGAGAGAGAGAUAAGAGAUUAUCACAGACUACAUAUGUACUGACUACUGAGAAAGAGUUAAAGCCGAAAAGUACGUAAAAUAUUAAAAAUACUGUAUAGGUCACGUGGCCUAGAUCUCUAUGGGUAAUUUCUUUCAGCCUUAAUAGUGGAACCCACCGACCACUUAAUCUAGCCGUUGGUUUUUGAAAUCAAUGGUUUAAGAUUUGGCGGCGUUUAUUCGAAAUUCAGAGGAAAAAAAAAAAGGAAAUCAUUUUUAUUGAAAUGAGUGCAACAUUAUUCCCACUAUCACUUGUUCCACUAUAUGGCCAAAAAAUGUGUCAGUUAGGUAAAUUUAGUGGACACUGUGAGUCAGGAAAACCUUUUGUUAAGAGUGUCAUCAUAUGGUGAAUCUCUUUGGCAGGUGCAGUAUUUUUUUUCUUCUUCUUUAUACUACUGUUGUUGUAUUGAUAGAGAAACUCCACUGGUUGUCUGGUUUAGACUCAGUUGGAAGUUGGAACCUGCAAGCAAGAAUAGAAAGAAAAAAAAAGAUGUGGUUAGGAAUUUUUUUGGUAAUUAAUCAAAAUUAUAUGUGGCCAUAUUAAGGUAAUCAUCAUGCAUCAACACCCAACCAGUUGGCACUACUUAAACAAAUGUAUCCCAUAGCCUUGACUCUUUUUAUGGAUGUGUCAUGUGUGGUCGUGGCUAAGAUAUCCCUACCCAGUGCCCACAAUAUCUAGUGUGAUUGGUUGUUCUUACCUCUUAGCAUUAUGCAGGAGCAAAUUCAAACAGCUAGCUGUAACUUAAGUUUUAGGCUUCUUUGCAUACUCUAGCGCUAUCAAGAACAAGUUGACCUUUGGGUUCCUGACCAAUGACCACCACAAUUUCUUAAGAAGCUAGAAGUUGAUAGAAACUUCGAAUCCGCCAUUUUUAUUUUGGGAAAAUUGGCGAUAACCCCCCAUAUUAUGGUCAUUCUUGGCAAAAACUCCUUAAUUCUGCCAUUUUUGGCGUAAACCCCCCAACCCCCAAAACUAUACCAUGUAUUACCCAAUUUACCCCUGACUUAAAUUAUUUGUCUAAACCCCCAAGUUUGAAUUAACAAAGUUAACAAACUCCGAGUAACUCCGUUAACCGAACAUGUAGUUUUUUUUUGAAAAAAAUCAGUUCAUGAACUAAUCAACGUUGCUCUCCACCCAAUUUGCAAGAAAUUUGAGCAAUCUGCACUACCAAUGUUUUCUAUUCCUCAUCACCCCCAACAACAUCAUCAUCUUUUUCACCCUUUCUCUUCACCUUUAUUUCCAAAACACCCUUAAUCCCUAAACUUUUUUUUUCUUCCCCACCACCACCAAACAUUCUAAACCCACCAUAUCUUCUUUUCUCCAUCACCAUUCACCAACACACAUCACAAUGACUAGCAAAUUAAACAACAAUGAGCAACACACAUCACCAAGGAGCAACAAAUUAAACACAUCACCAACACACAUCUCUUCUUUCUCUUCUUGUUGGUUUCUUCUCUCCACCAAACAAAAGCCAACAAAUUAAACAACAACGAGCAGCAAAUUCACCCCACUACUCUUCUCUUUCUUCGUCUAUCUCAACAACAACAACAACAACAAUAAUAUUCACCCCACAAUUUUUAGGCUCAAUUUACUUACAAUCUUAUCCAAAUUCUUCAUCUCCACUUGUUAGGUGUAUUUAUCUUCGAUUUGUUUAUAAAGAUUAGAAUUUUGUUGUCAAUUUUGACAAUUCCAAAUAAGGCUAUCACUAUUUAGUGUAAGAUUAAGAAAAAGAGGAAGAAACACAUUAAGAAUUUGGGGGUUUUCAAAUUGAUUUUCUAUGUGAAAGGCAAAUAUAAAUAUAGAUUCUGUUAAUUGUAGUCAACUUCUGUUAAGUUAUAUUUGGGGGUUUAGACAAAUAAUUUAAACCAGGGGUAAACUGGGUAAUACAUGGUAUAGUUUUGGGGGUUGGGGGGUUUACGCCAAAAAUGGCAGAAUUAAGGGGUUUUUGCCAAGAGUGACCAUAAUGUGGGGGGUUAUCGCCAAUUUUCCCUUUUAUUUUUUUAUUUUUUUUUUAUUUUUUUUGAUAAAUAAAAUUAGUUCAUUAUUUGGAAUCCGCCACUUUAUAACCAUGGUAAAGAGUUUAGGGCCUCAAACACCCUCCCCGGAAGUUGAUCGAUGAAACCUUCUGCUGCCAGAAAGUUCAAAUUACUGAGAUUCUGGAUGAAAUGUCACAAUGCACUUUGAAAUGUACGAAGUUUAGCUUUACUGCAAUGACGAAAGUGUGUAAAAGGCUAUGUAUGGGACAAAUCUGAUGAAUACUAGUUCUUUUGCCAACAUUGUGUUUGCAAUUAAGCUAAUAUGCUGAGCUUUAACCUCAUAGCUAUCACAUUUAUUGCCUUAAUAAGGAGUACAUGCAUGAGAGUUCAUAUUUACAUAUUACAUUAUACGAAAAAAAAAAGGGAAAACAAACACAGAAAUACUACCUCACAAAAUUCUACAUUUUCUCUCCAUAGUCUAUAGAAGGAGGGUAUUAUAGGGAAAAUAAGCAAUUUUGCCCCUUUUUCCACUAUUACCAUUAAGUUCUUAAGUGUUACAUAACAGAACAUGCAUUUGGAUUUUCGUCGCUGAAAAUCUGAGGUGGGUAGGCAUAUUCCAUGGUGUAUUUGGGAGGGUAGUAGUAGAAUUCAUUUUUGAUCAAUUCCACCACUUCCACUUUUGUUGUCUCUUCUUCUUCCUUUUUCGCUUCUUCUUCUUCAGGUGGUUUUGCUUCUUCGCCUUCUUUCUUCUCUGCAUCAACCUUUUCGCCCUCUUCUUUCUUUUCUUCCACCUUCUCUUCUUUGUUUUUCUCUUCUUCUUUCUUCUCCGGUUCUGUUUUCACAAUCAUUGCAUGCUUGCCAGUUCUUUUGUAAACAUAUUCUACGAGCUUUGGUGGAUCAAAUACCCCUGUCACUGUUACUUGCGAACUCUUCAAAUCUGCUUCCGCUGUUUUAACACCUGCAAUUCCAAUAAUAUCCACAAUUAAUUUAAAUCUGCUUACCAUGUCUCAACUUUACCAAAUUUAUAGUACAUUGUACAAGUUGACACUGUGUAAAGAACUGGCAAAUCUUUUCCUAACUUUAAGUAUUGACCCCUUGUUGAAAUACCUACGAAUCUGAACUUUGUUAUUAUAAUUAGUUACACAAACUUCAAGGUAAACGAAAAGAAAUUAGCUUUAUAAUUGAAAAAAAAAUUAAAAAGAAAAAGUAAAAGCUGAUGAAAUUGGUGGAUAAGAAUCAAUUAUUCUUUAAAAAAGAUGCAUAUGAAAGUAGAUUAAAAAGAAAAAUUUGUAUAGGAAAAAAGAUUAUACAAAAUAAAAGCGUGUGGAAUCGUUGUGAAAUAAUCUUACCUUUCAUUCUCAUUAUUCGUUUCUGAAUUUCCUGAGCACAAGCUUCACAGUGCAUGUGGACUUUUAAAACCACUGUAAUAAUAACCUGAAACAGAAAAAAUAAAAUAAAAUGAAUUAUUGUUAGAAUGAUACAGAAUCUUAAAAAAAAAGAUAAGUUCGAGGUACAGAGAGAGAGAUCUGAACCUCUUCUUCUUUCUUCUUCUCUUCUUCAGGUUUAAUGUUUUCUUUGUUAUCUUCUUCUUUCUUCUUUUCUUCUUCAGAAGGAGGUUUUGGAAUUGGAGAUAGAAGUUCAACUUGUCUAUGACUCUUUCUUUGAACUCUAUCUAAAACUUUCAAUGGAUCUGCUUUUCCACCUUUCACAAUCACUUUACUAGUCUUGCAAUCUGUUUGAACAUCUUCAACCCCUGUUCCAAAAAACAAUCACAUUCAAGUAAGUUUCAAUCUAUUGAAAAAGAUUAAAAACAGAGGAAAUAAUAAUAAAAAUUGUAAGUGAAUCUUGAACUAACCUUCAAAACCUUUCAAAGAUCUUCUAACUUUUCUAGCACAACCUUCACAAUGCAUAAAGAUUUUCAAUACAAUGUCUACAGGUGGUGGUGGUUCCUCUGUUUUCUUCUCUUCUUCUGGUUUCUUAACUUCUUCUCCUUCUGGUUUCUUCUCUUCUUCUGGUUUCUUGAUCACUUCUUCUUCUACUUUCUUCUCUUCCACUUUGGUCUCUUCAGGCUUGUUUUCCUCCUAAACAAUCAAACAGAAACAUUAGUUUAGAAUCAAUAAGAACAUUCAAAACAUUUAAUUAAGAUAAAUAAAGAAAUGUAGAAUUAAUUACCGCUCCCAUUGUUAAGAGAAAUCAAUUGAUCAGAACUUGUUCUAAUCUUCUUCUUCUAGCUUUCUCUCUUUGCUCUACUUCUCUCUCUCUGCUUUCUCUGUUCUUCUUCUUAU